AAUCAGCAAUUUUGCCACCUGAGUUUGUAGCUGAACUGAAACAAAAGAAAGGGGUCUAAUAGCAAGUUGGUGCCCACAAGAGCAAGUCCUUAACCACGCAUCAGUCGGAGGGUUUUUGAGGCACAGCGGCUGGAAUUCAACGAUUGAGAGUCUAACUGCAGUUGUGCCUAUGCUUUGCUGGCCAUUUUUUGCUGACCAACAAACUGACUGUUACUAUACUUGCAACGAAUGGGGCAUUGGCAUGGAGAUUGAUAAUGAUGUCAAGAGAGAUGUAGAGAAGCUUAUUAAAGAGUUAAUGGAGAGGGAGAGAAUGGUAAGAAAAUGAAAAAUAAGGCCAUGGAGUGGAAGAAACUGGCACAAGAGGCAACUGGUUCACAUGGUUUUUCAUCCACAAACUUUGACAAUAUAGUGAAUCAAGUUCCGUUAAGGAAAAGGUAGAUGUCAUCCUUAAGAACAUUGUCAUUAGUAACAACUAGAUGUUAUUGGUACAAGAUAUGGUAAAUGUUUGUUGGUCUUUUAAUAACUAGAAUAAAUGUACCCCAUUAUAUUUAAACUAGUUUAUACUUUUUUUAGAAAUAUAUUUAAAGAGAGCUUGAAACAUCGUGUUCAUUGAUUUUAUUGGUCUCAGAUACAUUGAUGAUUUUCAAUUUGCAUGAUUUUUUUGAAAGGAUGAUCUCUGAAUGAAUAUGUGAAAAAUAGAUGGUUUGAAUUGUUGAAAAAAAUUUCGUAAAGAACCCUAAAAAAUAUCCCUGAAAUAAAAUUAUUUCAAAAAUCUCUUCAUAAAAAAGGAAUAUAUAUAUAUAUAUAUAUAUAAUUUUGCUCUAAUUCAGACGUCCGCAUUUUGUUAAACUACGGUUGUCCACAAAUUUGCCAAUAUAUAUAUAAAUGCAAAUAAAAGCUUAUAUGCUGCCAGAUUACUUUCACCUUGGCAGAGGUGUGGGCCCUCCAAAAAGUAUCCCAAAUGUGGGAGUAUGGAGAUGCAGAAGAAGAAGCAGUACCAUUGGUUGCUCUCAAGGCUCUUGCAACGUGUUAAGUACUUUGUACUAAACUGCCAUUUUUAAUUAAUGAAUUCAACAACUUUCUAGUGCUAAUUGGAAUUGCACGAAUCAAAUCCACCUCUUCUGCAAAAAAACAAGUUGCAAAGUGGACAACCGUAGUUUAACAAAAUGCGGAUGUCCCAUUAGAGAAAACUCUCUCUCUCUAUAUAUAUAUACAUUAUUUGAUAUGCAAUUCAAAUUAAGAUUUAAUAUUAUAACUAGUUUAUACUUUUUAUGAAAAUGAAGUGUAAACCAAUUAUGUAGCACAUUUAGGGUGCCGCCGGCACUCUGUAACAUACUUUCUGCCUUUAUUUGCUUGGCUAUUUUUUAUUUAUUUAAAAAUUUAUGUAAUUGCAUUCAUAAUUCAAUUAGAAAAGUUACUAACUAUAAAAGGUCAUUACAAUAAUAGAACAAUCUAACAUCAAAAUUAAAAUAAUUUUGCGUGUCUCCACUAACGAUCACGCAAGAUCGAAGAAAUUUUGACAUAGGCAUCCCAAUUAAGAUUGAAAACUCAGAAUAAUUACAAAGAGAGAUAAAAUUUGAAAAAAUAAGUCAUAACAAUACAAAUAAAACUUUCAAAAUAAAUGAUAGAUGAAAAGUUCUUACAAAGGAUAAGUGAAAGGUUCUCACAAAAAGAAAUGUGAAAACUACAUAGAGAACUCAAAGAGUCUCUGUGACUUAUUCCAAAUAUAAAGAAAUCGGAAAAAAAAUAAUGGUAAAGAUCCGAUGCGAAAAUGCAAGUAGAAAUUCAACACCGAAACGCAGAUACAAAAUUAAAAUGCAAAGACAAGACAAACAACCUUAAUUAAAAUGCACAAAAAGAUCCUGAGAUCCUAUAUAUCUUACGAACUACCACCACAAAAAGUCACACCUAGCUUUUGGGUGCCGGCCAGGCUGGCUUCUCUUUGUAAUCUUUUCUUUUCUAAAUAAAAAAACAAAACUGAAAUAGUGGUGAUUGGAAUCAAUACAUGGCAUUAAUUUGAGAUAAGCUCAACAGCUACAGAGAUGAAUCAGACUCAAUCAACCAUGCACGCAAGUUCUACUCAAUAAUAAAUGUCCCGAGCUACCAAGAUUCACAUUGAGUACCCUCCAAACCCCAUCACCAUAAUUCUUACUAUUUAUAUAUAGACAAGGUAAAUCGACCGACGUCUUUCAUCAUGUAGGGCCAACAAACGAAAAAGGAGAUGGGCAAAAACCAGUCACUCGUUGAAAGUUAGCUAGCCCACCACUCCUAUAAAUAAAUAAUCUCUCCAUUUGUAUGAGUGAGCACAAAAAAGAUCUAAAACAUGACUUCCACGAUAGUAGCUCAUAAUAAGCCUCAUGCUGUCUGUGUUCCAGUCCCAGUUCAGAGCCAUAUAAAAGCCAUGCUCAAGUUGGCAAAGCUCCUUCACAACAGAGGCUUCCACAUUACCUUUGUCAACACAGAGUUCAACCACAGACGCUUUCUUAAGUCUCAAGGCCCCAACUCCCUUGAUGGCUUGACUGAUUUUCGGUUCGAAACCAUCCCCGAUGGCCUUCCGGACUCAGAUGAAGGUGCAACGCAAGAUGUCACUUUGCUUGCUGAAGCCGUUGUAAAAGAUGGUUUCUUGGCUCCGUUUCGUAACCUCCUCGUAAAACUCAAGGACGCAGCAACUUCCAAUAAUAAUCCUCCGGUGACUUGCAUUGUUUCCGAUGGUUUCAUGUCGCCGUUCGCCAUCAAAGCUGCCGAAGAAUUUGGACUCCCUAUUGCACUCUUCUUCACUAUUGCUGCAUGCAGCUUCAUGGGAUUUAAACAAUUUCACGCUUUGGUCGAAAAAGGACUUGCACCACUCAAAGGUGAGAUUAAUUCAUAUUUACACUUUCAGUUCGUCAUUCUGUUUUCUCAUAAUUUAUUUAUCUUAUAAUUUAUUUAACAAAUUGAAAAUGGGAAUAACAUCGUACCUUAUAUAUGAUCGAUUGUGUAACUGCUUUUUUUAAACAUACCUCAAAUGGAUAUUUUCCCCAUUUAAUUGGUUGUUAAUGUAGAUGAGAGCUGCUUAACGAAUGGAUUUUUGGACAAGGUCAUAGAUUGGAUUCCAGGAAUGGAAGGUAUACGUUUAAGGAAUCUCCCAUCCUUCUUUCAAACCACAAAUCCGGACGAUGUCUUGUUUAAAUUGAGCAUGGUGGUAACAGAUGAAGUUCAUAAAGCUGCAGCACUUGUUCUUCUGACAUUUGAUGCUUUGGAAAAAGAUGUUCUGAGUGCACUCUCAUCUGUGCCUAAUAUUCCACCUGUUUAUACCAUUGGCCCUAUCGAAUUACUUCUCAAUCAGAUACCAAAAGACCCUUUGAAGAACUCUGUUGGGUACAGUCUAUGGAAAGAAGAAACUGAAUGCCUCCAAUGGCUGAACUCCAAGGCACCAAACUCAGUUGUUUAUGUGAACUUUGGAAGCAUAACGGUCAUGACACCAAAUCAACUUGUUGAGUUUGGUUGGGGACUCGCAAAUAGCAAGCUUCCUUUCUUCUGGGUAAUUAGGCCAGAUUUGGUUGUCGGUGAAUCAGCAAUUUUGCCACCAGAAUUUGUAGCUGAAACAAAAGAAAGAGGUCUAGUAGCAAGUUGGUGCCCACAAGAGCAAGUCCUUAACCACGCAUCAGUCGGAGGGUUUUUGACGCACAGCGGCUGGAAUUCAACCCUUGAGAGUCUAACUGCAGGUGUGCCUAUGCUUUGCUGGCCAUUUUUUGCUGACCAACAAACUGACUGUUACUAUACGUGCAAUGAAUGGGGCAUUGGCAUGGAGAUUGAUAAUGAUGUCAAGAGAGAUGAAGUAGAGAAGCUUAUUAAAGAGUUAAUGGAGGGAGAGAAGGGUCAGAAAAUGAAAAAUAAGGCCAUGGAGUGGAAGAAACUAGCAGAAGAGGCAACUGGUCCUCAUGGUUCCUCAUCCACAGGCUUUGACAAUCUAGUUAAUCAAGUUCUGUUAAGGAAAAGUUAGCCGUCAUCCAUAUAAGACCACCUAAUUGGCGAGGCAAUAGCUUACCAAGGUGAUAGAAACAUGUACUCUCUUAUGACAUUACCAAGGCAAUAGCACAAGUUUAUUUUUGUGUCGGAACAAAUGAUAGUUACAAAUUAAAUUAAAAGUGAUGUUAAAGAUAAUCGCUUACGUGAGCAGUUGCAUCACAUCUUUUAAACAUUUAGUAAUUGGUACAUACUGAUAUGAGAUGCGCAGUCGUCUAUUCACCCUUUAAAUAUUUGGUUGUAUGGUUGGCAAUGCGGUUAAACAUUAUGGCCAAAAAAUAAUGAUAUACGGUUGCUGAUUAAUUCUCUUUUGUCCGCUUAUAUUUUUUUAUAUUUUUUAAAUAUUUUUUUAUGAUAACAUACAAUUUCUAAUUAGGGAGUAUAAAUUAACAAAAUAGGAGUAGGAAUAUAUAAUUUUCAACAAAAUGAGUGUAAGUGAAUAAAAAAUGAGUGGAAAAAUUGUAGAACAUCAUCUAACAUGUUGGUAUAAAUAGAAGAUUCCCUUUUAUACUUGGGAUGAAGAUAAGAUCCUAUUUAAAGAGAAAUAAUGUUACAAGGGACCUCUUUUUUUUCUUUUUGUUUUUUCAGCACGCGAUGUGAAUCUAAUAAAAAAAAAUCACAAAGAAGAGAAGAGCAUGAGUAAAUGUUCUAAAUCAUCUGAGAUAGAACAACUCCUGUUUUUUACUAAUUCAUUUUAAACACUGAGCAUGAUAUUUGUAAUUCAACUUAGCCCACUAAAUAACGCCCUCUAAAAAUAAAAAUAAAAAGUUGUUUGACUGGUAAGAUUUUUCUUCUUCCUUUUUUUCUUUUUUAAUUUUAACAUUUUCUUAUCUGAAUAUGCAAGACUAGUAAUUUUAAGAUUUUUCACCUUUGAGUGGCGUGCAAGACUAGUAAUCGAUACUUGUUGUCAGUACUUUAUAAUUUCCGACGAAAAAAAAAAUGUAUUCAAGAGAGACUACAUAAGCAACAAACACAUACACAUACAUAACAUUAUGGCCAAAAAAUAAUGAUAUAUGGGUGCCGAUUAAUUCUCUUUUGUCUAUUUAUAUUCUUUUAUAAUUUUUAAAUAUUUUUUAUGAUAACAUACAAUUUUCAAUAAGGAAGUGUAAAUGAACAAAGGAGGAGUAGGAAUAUACAAUUUCCAUUGAAAUGAGUGUAAGUGAAUGAAAAAAUGAAUGAAAAAAUUGUGGAACAUCAUUUAACAUGUUGAUAUAAAUAGAAGAUUCCCUUUUAUAAAUAAUAUCUUAGAUUGUGCUAGACAACAAGGAACGCAAAUAGAGUCAUCAUACUCGGGAUGAAGAUAAGAUCCUAUUUAAAGAGAAAUAAUGUUAAAAGGGACUACUUUUUUUUUUUUCAUUUUGUUUUUUAAGCACGCGAAGUGAAAUUUAAUAAAAAAAAAAAAAUCACAAGGAAGAGAAGAGCAUGAAUAAAUAUUCUAAAUCAUCUGAGUUAGAACGACUCCUAUUUUUACUAAUUCAUUGUAAACACUGGGCAAGAUAUUUGUAAUUCAACUUAGCCCACUAAAUAACAUCCAAAAAAAAAAAGAAAAAAAAAGAGAGGUCUCUCAAAACACUAGUUUGCAAAUCAAGACAUUUUUUCAUUGAAAAUAUAUUUUUAUGCUCUCAUAUUAACAAAAUCAUCAUCUACCACCACAAAUCUACCCUCUAUUUUUCUACCUUCGAUGCAUCCAUCGGUCUACACACUCCAUUUAGUUGUUUGACUGGUAAGAUUUGUCUUCUUCCUUUUUUUCUUUUUUAAUUUUAACAUUUUCUUAUCUUGGCGGUACUUGUUGUCUGUACUUUAUAAUUUGACAACCCAUACCUGAAUAUGCGUACUCCGCAGGUCCAAAGGGAAAAGUCAAGCAAAUAAUAAAAAUAAUAAUGCAACAUGUAUUCAAUUUGAUCUUUGGCCACUCCACCACUUCAAGAGAGACUACAUAAGCAACAAACGCAUACACAUACAUAAUCUGCAUUUGCUCUUAAUUAGUGCAAAACACAAACACAAACAUAUAAUCUAAGCCAGAUGGGUUCCAAGGCAGCAGCUAAUAGACCUCAUGUUGUUUGUGUUCCAGCUCCAGCUCAAAGUCAUAUCAAGGCAAACCUCAAAUUUGCAAAGCUCCUCCACCAUAGAGGUGUUCAUGUAACCUUUGUCAACACAGAGUUCAACCACAACCGCUUUCUUAAAUCUCUUGGACCCAACUCCCUUGACGGGUUGCCCGAUUUUCGAUUCGAAACUAUUCCUGAUGGCCUUCCAGCUGGUUCAGAUCAAGAUGCAACCCAAGAUGUCUCUUUGGUUUCGGAUUCCAUCAACAACAAACUCUUGGCCCCUUUUCGAGACCUCCUUAUGAAACUCAAUGACAGAUCAACUUCCGACAGUGAUAUCAAUCCUCCAGUGACUUGCAUUGUUUCAGAUGGUUUCAUGCCAUUCACAACCACAGCUGCAGAAGAAAUUGGAGUUCCUAUAGUGCUUUUGUUUACUAUUGCUGCAUGCAGCUUCAUGGGCUAUAAGCAAUACCCUGCUUUGGUGGAAAAAGGUCUUGCGCCACUCAAAGGUGAAAUAAAUGUUUUUUAAGGAAUUAAUUGUAUGAUAUUAUUGAUUAACAAAUGAAGCUUUUCUCUAAUUAAAUCUUACUUUGGGUGUUAAUUAUGUAGAUGAGAGCUGUUUGACAAAUGGCUUCUUGGACAAGGUAAUAGAUUGGAUUCCAGGAAUGAAAGGUAUUCGUUUGAGGGAUCUACCGGCGAAUUUUCGAACUACAGAUCCCAAUGACUUCGUGUUUAACUUGUCCUUGGAAUCGAUUGAAAGAGUUCAUAAAGCUUCAGCAGUUGUGCUUCAUACUUUCGAUGCAUUGGAGCCAGAUGUUUUGAAUGCUUUGUCAUCUAUGUUUCCACUUGUUUAUGCCAUUGGGCCUGACCAAUUACUUCUCAAUCAAUUACCAGAAGACCCUUUGAAGCAUAUUGGAUACAAUUUAUGGAAAGAAGAAACUGAAUGCCUUGAAUGGCUAAAAUCCAAGGCACCAAAUUCAGUUGUGUAUGUGAAUUUUGGCAGCAUAGCAGUCCUGACACCACAACAACUUGUUGAGUUUGGAUGGGGACUUGCAAAUAGUAAGCUUCCUUUCUUUUGGGUGAUUAGGCCUGAUUUGGUUGUUGGUGAAUCAGCAAUUUUGCCACCUGAGUUUGUAGCUGAAACAAAGGAAAGAGGUCUAAUAGCAAGUUGGUGCCCACAAGAGCAAGUCCUUAACGACCCAUCAGUCGGAGGGUUUUUGACACACGGCGGUUGGAAUUCAACCAUUGAGAGUUUGUGUGCAGGAGUGCCUAUGCUUUGUUGGCCCUUCUUUGCAGACCAACAAACAAACUGUUACUAUGCUUGCAAUGAAUGGGGAAUUGGCUUGGAGAUCAACAAUGAUGUCAAGAGAGACCAAAUAGAGAAGCUUGUUAAAGAGUUAAUGGAAGGAGAGAAGGGUAAGAAAAUGAAAAAUAAGGUCAUGGAGUGGAAGAAACUAGCAGAAGAAGCCACCAGUCCACAUGGUUCUUCAUCCACAAACUUAGACAAUUUAGUGAAUCAAGUGAUCUUAAGAAAAACCUAGAUUAUUUUCAUUGAAGUUUUAACCCUGCGUACCAUUAGCCCUCUCUUCUCUCUCUAGUCUGAAGAGAGAAAAACCAUAGGAAUGUACAGCAGCCGCCGGCCCCUUUGGGGGUCGGUGGCUGGCUCCCCCUCCUCCCUCGAUCCCUUCUCCUCUCCUAUCGUCCCCUCAUCCCCUCCCCUACUCCUUUCCCAGCUCUUCCCCUUUCCUCUCCUCUUUUCUUCUCCCCAUCUUUCUCCCCUCUCCUCCCUUCCUUAUACCCGCCCCCUCUGCUUCUCACCCGCCCUUCCUCCUUGUCCCUCCUUUCCUUUUGCUCCUUCCCUCCCUCGCAGUUUUAGGCUGGGAUUGUGUGACUGGCUCUUUUGGUUUUUCGGUUUUAUCCGGAGUUGUCAAUUUUCGAGUUGCUUUGGGACCACUUUGCUGCCUCCGUUGGUUGCUUUGCAGAUCUUUUGUCGACUUUGAUUGCUGCUUUUGAUUUCGUGUUUUUUGUUUGCAGUUUCGGUGUUGAUUUUAGUGCUUGUUGCCGUGUCUAUUUGUAUUUUAUUUUAUUUAUCAGAGUUAAAAGUUGUAAGGGGUUGUAAUUGCACUUGUUGUUUGGGCGUCUAGGUCGUUUGGCUGUAGGGCGGGUUGUGUUCUAUGCCUGAUUUAUCUAGGCUCUCGGUUUCUUUACCGUAUUUUCUGUGGCCAUGUGAGUUUAUGAGGGGAGACACACGGUUGAUGUCGGUGUAUUUUCCCCCUAUCUGGAUUAACUUUUGGAGAGUAACUCUGCUUCCACAUUUGUAUUAACCUUAUAUGGGUAUAUGUCUUUGCACUGGCCUUUACAACUUACAAUCUUUGUGCUUGAUUUAUAAAUACAAUGUAUCGCUUCCUCUCAGAAAGGAAAACCUAGAUUUUGUUAUUCUGUAUACAGUUUCCCUUGUUGGUUCUUUAGCAAGAUCAAAUCUCGUAUAUGUAUCGUGGUUGGAAGAUUUAAUACAUCUAAGUUUAAAUAAUACUUGGAUCUAAUAGACCUCGUCUGAAAGUUAGUCUAUCAAUACGUGCCAAAAAAAAAACCAUUUAAAAAUGCAUGGCACAUGUUCGUGAUAACAAAGUUCAAUGAAGACGUAGGAAGAAACUUUGAGAAGAAGCUUGCAAUUUCUUUUAUUAAUUUUCUCUCCUUUUUCAAUCUGCUUUACAAUGAACAGUAUCUAAUAUUUAUAUGACAGAAGCACUUAGCUUCUCAGCUACGACUUAACAAACACGUGAACCCACGUGAACUUCUAACUAACUAAACAAUUCAGCAUGCCAUGUCAGCAUUAUAUACAUGUCUUUUGCCAAUCAUCCCCCCUCAAUCGCAGUGGUGGCUGGACCAACACUAAGAUUGUGACAGUGUUUCAAAAAUAAUGGACUAUGCAGGCCCUUUGUGCAAAUGUCGGCAACUUGGUCUUCAGUAUUGACAUAUCGAACCACCAAAUCAUGACGCUGAACCCGUUCUCUGAUAAAGUGAAAAUCAAGUUCUAAAUGCUUUAUGCGAGAGUGCAAAACUGGAUUACUACUUAAGGCCAAUGCUGAUAAAUUGUCACUAUGUAAGAUUGGAGCUUCAGGAACAACAAUAUGUAAGUCUUGAAGAACAUAUCUGAUCCAAGAGAUAUCCACAGUUGGCAAGAGCUCGAUACUCUGCCUCUGUAGAACUACGAGAGACAGAAGAUUGCUUACGAGAAGACCAAGAGAUAGGAUUCUGUCCAAGAAAUACAACAUACCCUGUAGUAGAGCGACGAGUAUUAGGAUCCCCAGCCCAAUCUGCGUCACUAUAGCCAACCAAAACAGAAGAACCAGAUGUAAAUGUCAAACCAUAAGAUAAAGUGCCUUGCACAUAUCUCAGUAUACGCUUAACUAAAGUCAUAUGAAUAUCAGUAGAAGCAGUCAUAAACUGGCAUACGGUGUUCACAGCAUAUGCCAGAUCUGGGCGUGUGAAUGUGAGGUAUUGAAGAGCUCCAACCAAGCUGCGAAACAUUGUAGGAUCAGGAAGUAAUGUACCAUCAGUUGUCAGAACAUGACAAUGAGGUUUACAAGGUGUAAUUGAUGGUUUACACGUUUCCAUGCCAGCUCUCUUAAGUAAAUCACCAGCAUAUUUAGCUUGGUUGACAAACAAAUCACCAUUGGACUGAUAAGAAACCUCCAAGCCCAAGAAAUAAGUAAGCUGGCCAAUAUCUUUCAUAUCAAACACUUGUCCCAAAUCAUCAAUCACAGAUUGCACUAGGGUAGAACUUGACCUAGUGAUGAUAAUGUCAUCCACAUACAACAAAAGAAUAACCACAUUAGGACCAUCAUGCUUCACAAAGAGACUAGGAUCGGAGUGUGAAGAAACAAAGCCGAAAGCUGGAAGAUAUCCAGUGAACUUGGCAUUCCAAGCACGUGGUGCCUGUUUAAGACCGUAAAGAGACUUUCGUAGCCGACAUACAUAAUCUGGAUAAUGAUGAUCAAUGAAUCCCAAAGGCUGUUUCAUGUACACUUCCUCCUGUAGGUCACCAUGAAGAAAUGCGUUUUUAACGUCCAAUUGGCGCAAACACCAUUUAUGAGUUGCAGCCAAACUUAAAAUCAAUCGAACUGUGGUAUGACGAACUACAGGACUAAAGGUUUCGUCAAAAUCUAUACCUUGUUCUUGACUAAAACCUUGUGCAACUAAACGAGCUUUAUAUCGAGCAAUACGUCCAUCAGCAUGUCUUUUAAUUUUGUAAAUCCAACGACAACCAACAAUAUUCUUAUCAGAGGGUGGAGGAACUAAAUCCCAUGUACCUUGAAUUUCCUCUGUCAUAGCCUGCUGCCACUCAGACUUUGUACUAGCUUCGCGAAAAGUAUGAGGCUCAUCAAGAGCAGUAAUUGUAGAUAAACAAGUGGAAAAACAUUGAAAAUCACCAAAAUCUUUCUUCUUCUUAAUACCACUUUUAAGACGAGUUUGCAUAGAAUGACCAUGCUGUGGAAUGGUAAUAUGAGAAGAAGAACUAGAGGCACUGUGACAGAGAGAGGAAGCAAAACCUGUAAUUGAGCAGGAUCCAAAAUAGGUUGCAUAGUCUGAGCAGAACCUAAGACCUCUUGAGCCUCAGAUGUAGAUACUGAAGAAGAUGAAUUCUCAUUUGAACAUGGGAGAGGAGAGUGAUCAGACUCUGUGGGAGUAACAUAUCUAUAAGGCAAUGAAACUGCUAUAGCUGAAGGAGACAAGUGUGUCAUGACAGAAGAAAAUUGGGUUGAGGAUACUGAAUAAUUCUUCAUUGGAAACUGAGUUUCAUCAUAAAUCACAUGUCUUGAAAUAACCACUUUAUGAGUGUCAGGAUGAAAACAAAUAACACCCUUAUAACCAAGAGAGUAUCCAAGGAACACAUGCUCUGCUGAUCAUGGCUCUAACUUGUGAGAAUUAUAGGGUCGAAGAAGUGGAUAUACUGCAGAUCCAAAAACUUUUAAUGAUUGAAGCUCAGGAUUAUGACCAAACAAUUUGAAGUAUGGAGAUGUCAUUUGAAGAAGCUGACAAGGCAUACGAUUUAUGAGAAAGGCAGCAUGAGCUGCAGCAUAGUACCAAAACUUGUCAUUCAAGGCAGCAGUAGCAAGUAAUGUAAUUGUGGUUUCAAUAAUAUGCCUAUUCUUCCUCUCAGCAAUCCCAUUUUGAUUAGGGGUAUAAGGACAUGAAAUCUGAUGGAGAAUUCCCUUAGAAGCCAAGAAAUCUUUAAAGGCUUUACUAUUAUACUCCCCACCACCAUCAGAUUGAAAAUAUUGCGCAGAAGCUUGAAAGUGCUUAGUAAUAUACGCAUGAAAUUUCACAAAUGUAGGAAAAACCUCAGAUUUCUUGAUUAAUGGAAAAAUCCAGAGGAAUAGAGUACAGUCAUCGAUGAUUGACACAUAAUAUCUAUAUCCACCAAAUGCUACAGAGGAGGAAGGACCCCAUACAUCAGAGUGUAAUCGCUGAAAAGGUAAUGAAGAAUGAGACUGGGAACUAGCAAAAGGAAGUCGGUGCAUUUUACCACUCAAACAAAAACUACAUACACUCUGAGAGGAAUCUGAAACACUAGAAAUUUGAGACUGUUUCAACAUCUGAGUAAGAACUUCGUUGGACACAUGACCAAAUCUUUGAUGCCAAAGAACUGAAGAUACUGGUUUCCCAAGUAAAGCUGUUGGAGUAGAGGCAAUCCCUUCAACUACAAUUGGUGAAGACUUGGUGUUAGACCUUAUUGACAAAUCACCCAGAGCUUGAGGAAUUGGAUACAGACCCUUGUUACUGCGACCCUUGUAUAGCAGAACCUUCGUUGCUUUGUCCUGCACAUAGAUAUAUGAGUCAUCAAAAAUCACCCAGCAUUUAUUAUCUUUACACAACUGGUAAAUGGAUAACAAGCUGGCAGCCAACUGAGGCACAUGAUAAACUUGAUUAAGGCGAAGAGAACCAGAAAUACUAGGAAUGGAAGCACUGCCAACAUGAGCAAUGCACAGACCUUCGCCAUUCCCAACAGUUAUUUUCUCAUCAGCGGUAUAAGGAGCAACUUGAGCCAACCGAGUCACAUUAUUGGUCAUAUGAUGAGAUGCACCACUGUCGGCGAUCCAAAACUUAUCAGCAGAAAAUGAAGGAGAGGUUUGAGCUGUCAUUGCAUGGAGCUGAGCAGGAGGUGCAGUGCCUUGAUAGGAAAAGUUAGCUCUAUGGUAGCAGUUCAAGGCUAUGUGACCUUUCUUUCCACAAAUCUGGCAUUCCACAACAGGAUUAGGCACAGAAGAAUUGUCAGGAACUCGAUAGAAGCAGUUUGGAGCAGUAUGGCCUCGUUUGUUGCAAAUUUGGCACUCAGGAAUUACUUGAGACCUUUGAACAGAGGAACCAAAAGAAGGACGAGACUGAAAAUUCCCUCUUGGAUUUGAAUACUGUGGUGAUGAAUUGUAAUUGCCUCUGCCUCUGACAGACCCUGAAGAAAAUCCUUGAGAGGGUUGUGGAUAUCGGGAAUAAGAGGUCGAUUGAAAACCAGAAUUCCCUGACUGUUUCACACCAGUAAAACCAUGAGAAGAUGUAGGCUGUGCAUGAAUAAUACCAACAGUCGAUGCUGAGAGAGAAGAAGACUGUGAGCUAGAGCCUUGAGUGGAAGAAACAGAACUCAUGAGACCAGACAUUUGAUGAGACAAUGCCAUCACCCGUGACUCUAUGGUACGCUCAGCAGAAAGCAAUUGUGCUCGGAAUUCCUUCAUAGUGAUGGGAGUCUCACGAGCAAAGAUAACAGUCCUGAUUAUAUCAAACUCAGCAGGAAGACCAUUAAGAGCCGCAAUAAUAAUAUCGUCAUGGGUCAGCUUGACACCAGCAGCUGUCAGUUGAUCUCUAAGAUGUUUAAGUCUGAGUAAGAAUCGUUCAAUAGAAUCUGCACCUUUACUAAUUAUGUGAAGCUCAGUUUUCAACUGUGUGACUCGAGACCUUGAUACAGAUGCAUAACGGUCUGUGAGAUUAAGCCAUGCUUCUCUAGCUGUCUUACAACCAACAACAUAUUCAAUCGCAUCAUCUGAAAGAGUUGCAAUCAAUAAACUCAAUAGAGCUUUGUCAAUUUGUAUCCACUGCUUGUGUGCUUCAGUAAGUUCACCAGUAACUCCCUCACUCUCUGUGACAACAUACUUAGGUGGACAACUACUAGAGCCAUCAAAGUGACCAUAGAAAUCGUAACCUUGUAGCACUGAUUGGAACUGAUAGUGCCACUUAACAAAGUUAUCCUCAGACAAACGAAUGGUAAGAAUUCCUAGAAGUCCUUCGAUUUUAGGCAUCACAAACGUCAUUGUUGCAAAAUAACAGAAUUGAUGCAGGCUUCGUGCCAAAAUAGAAAAUUGAAAUUAGAUGCAAGAACAGAGAUGCUUCGUGCUUCAAUUGUAAAACAAGACCUCAGAGGCUUCGUGCCUAAAUCACUUGCAAGAACAGAGAUGCUUCGUGCUUCAAUUGUAAACUAAGAACUCAGAGGCUUCAUGCCUAAAUCGCAAAUUUCACAAUUCCGAACAAGGAUAGAAUCAUACCAGAUCGCUGAAUUAGUGCGAGAAAAGAUAAAUUCCACUCGAGAAGAUGAAAGAGCAGAAUACCUCCAUAAUCGCAAUGAAAAAGUUGAGAAAAAUGAUCGCCAUUUGCAUCCACAGUGAAUACAGAACAAGCUCCAUCAAGAAGUGUAGAGAGAAGAAAAUUCUGAUGAACAGUGAUCACGCGGAAGCUAUUGGAUCAGGAGCCGAAGCUCUGAUACCAUGAUAACAAAGUUCAAUGAAGACGUAGGAAGAAACUUUGAGAAGAAGCUUGCAAUUUCUUUUAUUAAUUUUCUCUCCUUUUUCAAUCUGCUUUACAAUGAACAGUAUCUAAUAUUUAUAUGACAGAAGCACUUAGCUUCUCAGCUACGACUUAACAAACACGUGAACCCACGUGAACUUCUAACUAACUAAACAAUUCAGCAUGCCAUGUCAGCAUUAUAUACAUGUCUUUUGCCAAUCAGUUCGUACUUACUUUUUAUGUUAUCUCCAUCAAUGCGAUUCCACAUACUCAAAACAAAAACCAUAGAAAAAGAAAAGGCAUGCCAACCUCAAGCUGUAUUAUAAUUCCAGAAAAUGAGGAAGAAGAUUUCACUUGGACAUUUGUUCCAAAAACCAACAAUAUAUAGGCACCAAGUAACAUCUGCAUAUUAACUCACAAGAUCAGAGAUAGGCAUGGUUUCUAUAGAGGUAGUCAGAAGCCUCAUGCUUUAUGUAUCCCAUUCCCAUAUCAAGGCCACAUAAGGCCAUUCCUCAAGUUUGCAAAGCUCCUACACCACAGAGGUUUCCGAGUCACCUUUGUCAAUACCAAAUACAACCACAGACGCUUUCUUAAAUCUCUAGGCGACGACACCCUUGACGGCUUGACAGACUCUCAUUUUGAAACCAUCCCAGAUGGUCUUCCUCCCUCAGAUUCAGAUUCAACCCAAGACAUCUAUGCUAUUUGUGACUCGCAAAGCUCAAUGAUGCUGCAACUUCCAACAAUACCCCUCCUGUGACCAGCAUUGUCUCAGAUGGUUUCAUGAGCUUCUCAAUCACAGCUGCUGAAGAACUUGGACUUCCUUUUGUGUUGUUCUUUCCUACUGCUUCUUGUGGCUUCAUGGGCUUCAAGUGUUACCGCGCUCUUGUGGAAAAAGGAUGUACACCACAAAAAGGUAAAGGGAGGAGCCAGAAAUAGUCAAACAAUAUGUGUAUAAUAUUUUUCAGAUGUAUUUCAAUCUCCGAAAUGAGGUAUUUAUAAUACAAGGUUACAAACCUUAGUAGGGUUAUACUAGGAAAUAAGAAAAGUCCUAAUUAUAUAAUAUCCAUACAAAAGGAAAUAAAUAAAAUCAUAUUAGAAUAAGAAGGAAAUAUCCUAAUAAGGCUAGGAUAUCUCGCCAACACUCCUUCUCAAGUUGGAGCAAAGACGUCAUGCAUGCCCAACUUGUCAAGCGAGUUGAGGAAGAUACUUGUAGAAACAGCUUUCGUAGGGACAUCGGCUAACUGAUACUCAGAAGUGAUGAAUGAGAAGGAAACAAUCUCCGCAUCCAACUUCUCUUUAAUGAAAUUUCGAUCAAUCUCCACAUGCUUUGUACGAUCAUGUUGUACGGGAUUAUGAGCAAUUGCAAUCGCAAUCUUAUUGUUACAAUAUAAAUUCAUAGGUUUCUUAGGUCCAAAGCCAAGAUCUCUCAAUAAUCUCCUCAACCAUAGUAACUCACAUACGCCAUGGGUCAUCCCACGAUACUCAGCCUCAACACUAGAACGAGACACCACCUUUUGUUUCUUGCUUCUCCAAGUAACAAGAUUACCACCAACAAACGUAAAAUACCCAGACGUAGAAUGCCUAUCAGUAGCUGAACCUGCCCAAUCAGCAUAUGUGCAUCCUUUCACAUAUGUAUGACCAUACUUGGAAAACGUUAAUCCCUUGCCAGGAGUUACUUUUAGAUAUCUCAAAAUAUGCGUCACACCUCCCAUAUGGUCUUCACUAGACGAGUGCAUAAACUGACUCACUAUACUCAUCGCAUAAGCAAUGUUAUGACGUGUAUGAGCUAAAUAAAUUAAUUUUCCCAUGAGCCGUUGAUAGCGCUCCUUAUCAGUAGGAACUUGAUCAGGAUAUAACCUCAACUUGUGAUUCUGUUCACUAGGAAUAUCAAUUGGUUUACAAUCCAAAAUUCCAGUUUCUGCAAAUAAAUCCAAAACAUAAUUCCUUUGGGACAAGAAAAUACCAUGCUUAGAUCUGGCAACUUCAAAUCCUGAGAAAGUACUUCAAGUCACCUAAUGAUUUCAUCUCAAACUCAGACGCCAGAUAUUUCUAGAGACUCUAUAUUUCUGCCUGAUCAUCUCCAAUUACAAUCAUAUCAGCAACAUAAAUUAUUAAAGCUGUCAAUUUACCUUUGCGAUGCUUCAGAAACAAAGUAUGAUCUGAAUUACUUUGUACAUACCCAGACUUCUUCAUAGAUGCAGCAAACCUCCCAAACCAAGCUCUUAGAGACUGCUUUAAUCCAUAUAAGGAUUUCUGUAGUUUGCACACCAUACCCUCCUUAGAGGUCACAGGGAUACCUGACGGAGGAUCCAUGUAUAUUUAUUCUUUGAGGUCACCAUGGAGGAAUGCAUUUUUGACAUCGAAUUGUAACAGAGGCCAAUCAUGAUUGGUAGCCAAGGACAAGAGUACGCUCACAGUAUUGAGCUUUGCUACUGGAGCAAAGGUCUCCAUGUAAUCCACUCCAUAAGUCUGAGUAUAACCUUUUGCUACCAACCUUACCUUGUAACGGUCAAUGGAAUCAUCAGCCUUGUGCUUCAAAGUAAACACUCAUCUGCACCCAACUACCUUUUUCCUUUUUGGUAAAGGAACGAGCUCCCAAGUGUCAUUCUUGUUCAAGGCUUCCAUCUCAACAUGCAUUGCAUCUACCCAUUUUGGAUUAGAUAGAGCAUCAUGCAACUUAAUUGGCAUACAUACACUAGAUAAUUGACACAAAUAUGAUGCAUAUGACUUAGAUAGACGAUGAGUUGUCACAUAAUGAUUAAUAGGAUAUUUAGAUUUGGCAUGUAUAUCAGAAGAAUAUGUACUUUAGGUUUAUCACAAGUAGUGUGUGGGGGUAAUGAAUAAGUAGACACAUCCUUAGAAAGUAUCUCAUCAUUAUCAUGAGUUGAUUGGGGCAAUGGUAGAGCAGGGGGGUCUUAUAUCGAUCUCAUCUUCACAAGAGUCACCAAUAUUACUGUCACGUUCUUCUAGCGAAGAGCAAAUUUCAUCAAAGAAUUCAACAGGCGACCGGUCAUCACCUUAUGAGCGAUUGGUCGGUUCCAGGCAGAUUUUUAGGAGACCAGACGCUUCUUCUGGGCCACCGGUCCUUUCCUGGCAGUCAUCAGUCAUUGAGGCAUGCAACCGGUCAUCACCAUCUGCACGACCGGUCGAUUCCAGGUAGAUUACUUGGCAACCUGUCGCUUCCCCUACACGACCGGUCGUUGGCACUUUGUCCUAAAUUCCUUCACAUACCUCUUUACGUCCAAGAUUUUCCGUUUCGAAACUCUUCAAUUCACUCCCCCUCUCCUCCUGAAUUGAAAAGGAGGAAGAGACACAAUACUGUACUUCUUCAUGAAAGGUGACAUCCAAAGUAACAUGUACCUUCUAUGAAGGAUGGUGUAGCACUUGUAACCCUUCUGAGUGGUAGAAUAGCCAAUGAAGACACAACAAAGCACACACGAGUCAAGUUUACUCCAUUGAUGGAAGUAGACAUGAACGUAAGCAACACACCCAAACACCUUCGGAGGUAACUUAGAGACCAAGACCGGAGAAGUAUGGGAACAUAACACAUCAAGCGGAAUAUUGAAAUCAAGCACCCGACUAGGAGUACAGUUAAUCAAAUAAGCAGCGGCCAAGACACCAUAUCCCUAAAGAUGAUGGGGAACAGACAUAUCCAACAUAAGGGAGCAAGCAACUUCAAGUAACUGACGAUUCUUACGUUCAGAUACAUCAUUCUGUUGAGGAGUGAAUGAAGUGGUAGUUUGGUGGAUGAUACCUUAAUCAUGGAAGAAAUGGGUCAAUGUAUGAUUCACAUAUUCACCUCCGUUAUCAGUCUGAAAUACUUUAACACGGGCAUGAAACUGAGUAGACACCAUAGCACAAAAAACAGAAAGAAUAAAGGCAACAUCAUGUUUAUGCUUCAUCAAAUAUACCCAUGUUAAGCUAGUGCAGUCAUCAAUAAACGUGACAACCCAACGAAAACCAUUAGAAGUCAUACGGGCAAAACCCCAUACAUCUGAAUGUAGUAACUCAAAAGGCAAUGCAGCUUUAUUAUUACUCAAGGGAAAAACAGUACGGUGGUCAUUACACAAGUUUUGCAUUUGAAGCUAGACUCAUCACACGAACUAAAUAAUGAAGGAAACAAUGUUUAAGAUAACCAAAGGACGAAUGUACUAAACGACAAUGCCACAGCCAAAGGUGUUACUUGUCUUUGACACUGCCAUUCUAGACUUUAUUAGUGACACAACCACGAACUACUGCAACCUCUAACUGUAAGUUAUACAACCCACUUAUCCGUUUACCAUGCCCAAUCUUCUCGUGACUCUUGAGAUCUUGGAAAAAACAAUGGGUAGAAUAGAAAGUAGCAGACGCGUUAAGUGUAUCAAGUAAAUGCCCAACUGAUAACAAAUUACAACAAUAUUUAGAACCAAGGGUGCAUAAGACCGAGGUAAAGAAGGAGUGAGUUGGAUGGUACCUUCAUCGGUAACUGGGGAAGGUAAACCAUUAGCACUAGUAAUAUAGGGGGUCACGAGGGUUAUGGGACAACUCAUCAAACAUAUUAUCUAAGUAUUAGAACUCAUACUUGACAUGGUAUCGGAAACACACAGAUUUGCAGACGGGGCCAGAGGACGGGCCUCAUCUUGAGUCAUAGUACAAGCAGUCUUAAGACCAUACAUAGAAGCCUUGUAGCCAACAAACCAAUCAGGAUAACCAUGCUCCUUAAAACACUUCUCAGAGUAGUGAUUCCCAUGACAAUGACGACACUGAAAAGGACCUUCAAGAGAGCUACGGAUAGAUCCAGAAGGACGAGGCCCAGCAGAAGAAUAAAAUUUUCUAGAUGGGGAGUGACCGGCCGUUUCAUGCUGGGCGACCGGUUGUUGACGGGCUGGGUCGACUUUGAGGGCCAUUGAACCUCCUCCAAGCAUAGCAUACUAACGGGUGUCUUCCUCCAUGACCAUGGCAUAGGCUUCGAGAGGGGGCGGGACAGGACUAAGAGCAAGGAUACGGCUACGGACACCAUCAUAUGGUGGAUCAAGUCCUUUAAGAAAAUCAUAAACUCGAUCAGCUUUAACUUCUUUCAGACGACGAGCCCCAUCAUCAGCACAACUAAACUCAUGUGGAUGCAGACAAUCAAUCUCCUGCCAGAUAGCAUGGAGUUUUUCAUGGAAUACUUUGACAGAUUCACCAUUCUGACAUGUAAGUAUAGACUGCCGUUGGAGUUGAAACAACCGAGAACUAUUUUGAGUCACAGUAUAGGUCUUCUGGGCAGCCUCUCAUAUAUCAAAAGCAGUAUCACCAUGUUCAAACAAGGCACAAACUGGCUUAGUCGUGGAAUUGAGAAGCCAUAAUUGUACCAGACAAUUAUCUUCUUCCCAUUCGACAUAGGCAACGGAACCUUUAGACGGAGCUAGCUUCUUCUCAUUGAUCCAACUUGCCAUACGACGACUAGUAAUUGUAAUACAAGCACCACGAGACCAAGAGGCAUAAUUGGAGCCAUCCAAUUUGUCAGAAGUAAUCGGGGUAGAGUAAUCACGCGAGGGACGUUCCUCCUUUGUUGUAGAUGCAUUAGCACACACCACGACUUUGGAAUCAUCACCCAUGAUAGCAGCGGAAAAAACACAACACGAAGCAGAUACGACAAACAUAGCACAGGCACGGGCACAAGAACCCUAAAAAGAAUUAGGGCACACAGUAGAACACGAGUGGGGCACAAUAUACACAGGUCACCAGAAACUCGGUUCUGAUACCAAGUCAAAUAAUAUAGGUAUAAUAUUUUUCAUAUGUAUUUCAUUCUUCGAAAGGAGGUAUUUAAAAUAUAAAGUUACAAACCCUAGUAAGGUUAUACUAGGAAAUAAGAAAAGUCCUAAUUACAUAAUAUCUAUACAAAACGAAUUAAAUAAAAUCCUAUUAGAAUAAGAAGGAAAUAUCCUAAUAGAGCUAGGAUAUCUCGCCAAAACAUAAAUUAAUUAGUAAUGUUUUGUUUUUUAUUAACUAGUAACAUUCUGUUUUUUAGCUUAACUAUAGUAACAUUAAUUUGUUUUCAAUGUUGCAGAUGAGAGUUAUGUAUCAAAUGGUUACUUAGACAUUGUCAUUCAUUGGACACCGUACCGAGAAUGAAAGAUAUCCACCUAAGGGAUCUUCCAAUGUUUCUUCAAACUACAAAUCCAAAAGACAGUGUCUUUAUCUUAACAAGGGAAGCAACUGAAAGAGCACAUAAAGCCUCUACAGUUGUUAUUCAUACUUUUGAUGCAUUGGAGCAAGAGAUUUUGGAUGCUCUCUCAUCUAUGCUUCCACAUCUUUAUACCAUUGGCCCUUUCCAAUUACUUGUCAAUCAGAUACUAGAAGACCCUUUGAAGCCAAUGGGAUAAAGCCGAUGGAAGAAGAAACUGAGUGCCUUUCCUAGCUCGACUCAAAAGCACCAAACUCAGUGGUUUAUGUGAACUUUGGCAGUGUGGGUGAUCAUGGCACAAAAUUGUUGGUCCCUUUUCCCGCCAACACUCUUUUGUGGUUUGCUCUUGGAUCAAGUUGCUAUGUAGAAUGAGGAGGUCGUUGGAUCAACACCAAUGCCCCGAUUGGAUUUUUGGCUCACAAAGAGGAUUCUUUCAAUUUCUGAACAAAAUGGAAAGUUAGAUCAGGUUGACAAGAACAGGCGAGCUUGGGUUGGGCCCUAUCAACUUGUUCCUUCUGACCUUAUCUUGAAUUGAGUAGGCGUGCCACUAUUAGGUAUGAAACCAACCUAAUAGAUCUAGUAUAGGUGGUGCAAGAUGUUGAUUUGUUAUAUUUGCGCUUAUUCUGGACUUCUACUCAACCCAUUGUGCUCCAAGGAGGAUACUGCCCUGGAUGAGUUCUUUUUUAUGCCUCAAUUAAAAUGACUUCAAUAUUCUUUCAUUUGUGCGUGUCGAUUUGAUAGAUACGAGCAAUACCUAAUCAAACAAGAAGGAAACUAGAAUCGUGGUUAAUGGUGCCUUAUUUGGAUUAACCUUUACUUUUGGACUAAUGGGGCCCUAUUCGAGCCUAGACUUCUGCUUUAGGUCCGAAUAAUAAAUUUAAAUAAUAUAAGGCAGGAAAUUAAACUAGUCUGUAGAGAUAUUUAAAAUAUAUAAAAGCAGUUAAAUAGGAGAUACUUAAUGAAAUAGUCAAGAUAAACUCCAAGAUUUCUUUAUCCGAUUUUAACUUGAUAACAAAGAAGAACAAGAGUUAUAAAUUUAUCCAUUUAACUAAUUCAAAAUAUCGAUUACAAUGUAAGGAAAAUUGGAGAUUUCUCUAUUCAGUUAGAGGGAUACAUGAAUUCAAACUGAUCAUUUAAAAGAAAUCAUACCAUGUAGAUGGCAGAGUAAUAAGAUAUGAAUGCAAGAGUUGUCAACUGGUUGUAAGGGAGUUUUAAAGGUCAAUACACCAGAGGACAUGCGGUUGAUCAGGUGAACUGCGGUGACAAUAGCGUCAUCCCAAUGAUGGCAAAGAACAUGAGAACCAAUCAGAAGUGCUCGGGCAGUUUCAAGAAGAUAUCGAUUCUUUCGUUCAGCAAUACCAUUUUGUUGCGGUGUCCGAAGACAAGUCGUCUCAUGGAUAAUUCCAUGUUAUUGGAAGUAAGCCUGAAAGUCAUGAUUGACAAAUUCUCCACCAUUGUCUGCGCGAAGAAUCUGGAUUUAAGCAUUGAACUGAGUUUUCCUAUAUUUGUGGAAAGACUGAAAAUGGAAAAACACAUUGUUUUUAUUCUUCAGCAAAUAAAGUCAUGGCAUCCGUGUAUAAUCAUCUACGAAUGGGAUAAACCACUGAACACCAGAAGGAGCAGCGAUAGGUGAAGGUCCCCAAACAUCAUAUGAAUUAACGUAAAUGGAGUAGUACACUUGUUUGUUCUCAACGGAUAGGACAAAGUGACUCUUGGCCAAAAUACAAGUUUCAUAUGUGAACCGAGUCCUUGAAACCGAAGAAUAAAUCUGAUAUAAGAUGCUUCAUAUAACUAAAAGACAGAUGUCCCAAUCGACGUUGCCACAACUAGAUUUGCUUUUGUUCGCUAUCAAAGGGAUGCGUCACAAUGUUAGCCAUGUUGGGACUGAAGUCAUUUACAUAAUAUAGCCCCCCUCUCUUAAUACCACGACCAAGAAUCUCCUUAGUGUGACUAUCUUGAAGCAAACAAAAACUCGGGUAAAUGAGUACACAAUAAUUCAAUUGUUCAGUAUGUUGACUAACUAACAACAAUUUAUUGGAUAAAGAUGGAACAAAUAAAGUAUUAGAUAGUAAGAGAGAGGAUGAAAGUACAACUGUGCCAGUCCCUGUCACAGGAUAAGUAACUCCAUUGGCGUUAGCAAUACAAGUUCAUUGAGGUUGGGUAGUAUUCAGAAAAUCAUCAGGAUCAAACCUCAUAUGAUCAGUUAAACCGGAAUCAAUUAUGCAGCUCGUGGAAUCACUUUUAUCUGAAGUAUGGAAUUCAUAACUAGUAUCAUUACGGGUCGUAUCGGGUGGUGUUCGAUCUUUGAGAUUAUCCCACCAUUCGGGGUACCCAUGCAAUUUAAAACAAGUCUCACGAGUAUGCCUUGGAUCACCACACUAUGCGCAAUCUCGUCCAUGAGUCAAGGUCGUUAGUUGGGAAGUCAUAAUAUGUGUAGCGGAAGAUGCAUAGGAUACGAGUUUAGUAGGAAUCCGGAUCGGGAUCUGAGCCUGAGUAGGGGUCAUAGUCGAAGUCGGGAUCUAGGUCUGAAUCAUAGACAAAUUCGAGGUCGGGAUCGUCAUCGUUGUCGUCGUAGUCGGGGUCGGGGUCAUCAAAAUUGGAUCCUGAUUCAGGAUCUGGUUCGAGGUCAUCAAAAUAGGAUCCUGAUUCAGGAUCAUGUUUGGGCUCGAAGUCUGCAUCUAUAGGAGCUAAGCCACGUGGGCACUCAACUCAGCUAUGGUUGGUUGAAAAUGAGAGAAGGAGUCAGUGGUGCUACCUCUAUGAGGGUUGAAAAAAUCAUCAACCCCCAUAGCAGCAGCGGGGGUUGGGAACUAGAGUCAGUGAUUCCAGGAUCGCCGCUCUGAUACUAUGCUAAAAUAUGAGAACUAUGAGAGAAUAUUUGUUUGCGGGAAUUUUAUGUGUAUUCUUCUCCUUCUAAGAUGUCUUAUUUAUAAUAUAACGGAACUUUAAUGGGCAAGUAAAUAAUAAAUUCCUACUUCUAUUUAUAGUAGGAAAUCAGGAAAUAAAGUACAUUAAAUAUAAUUAUAAUGGGAAUCUUUGAUGUGUAAAGAAAAAAUGUCAAUGGUCCACAAGUCAUACCAACAUAUUCCAGCUGGUCUUAAGCCCCUAAUCCUAGAGAUUGCAGCAGCCUCCCAAAGUCAAGCCAACUUCAUUAAUGCAGCCAACAUACAACUAGCUAACAAGCCCACCAAUCCUAUAAAUAAAUAAUCUCUCCAUUUGUACGAGUGACCACAAAAAAGAUCAAAAACAUGACUUCCACGAUAGUACCUCAUAAUAAGCCUCAUGCUGUUUGUGUUCCAGUCCCAGUUCAGAGCCAUAUAAAAGCCAUGCUCAAGUUGGGAAAGCUCCUUCACAACAGAGGCUUCCACAUAACCUUUGUCCACACAGAGUUCAAUCACAAGCGCUUUCUUAAGUCUCAAGGCCCCAACUCUCUUGAUGGCUUGCCUGAUUUUCGGUUUGAAACCAUCCCCGAUGGCCUUCCGGACUCAGAUGAAGAUGCAACGCAAGAUGUCACUUUGCUUGUUGAGGCAGUUGUAAAAGAUGGUUUCUUGGCUCCGUUUCGUAACCUCCUCAUUAAACUCAAGGAUGCAGCAACUUCCAAUAAUAAUCCUCCGGUGCAGUGGCGGAGGUAUAUGAGGGCCUGAAGGGGCCUGGGCCCCUCCAAAAGUUUCAUAAUAUUUAAUUUGUGGUAUUCUGUUCCUACAGAUUUUAGAAAGUAAAUAUGAUAAUUUUGCUUGUGGCCCCCUCAAGAUGUGUUUCUCUUUCCAAUUAAAUAUAUAUAAUAAUAACCACUUGCCACUUGACUGAAGGUUGUGAAUGUUUAUAUCCUCACGCCAGUUUUGGUUUUUUAAAAAGUAGAAUCUCAUGUCCAUCAAUAUAUUAAUAAAAAAAAAUAAAACAGCCAAUCAAAUAAAGUUUCAAAAAAUUUCCUUUAUCAAAUAGGAAAUAGACUUUUACCCAAAUAAAAAAGGAUUGGGAUUUUAAUUUUUGUUCCUAUAUAAAGCAACAUGAACUUAGUUCGAAGCAGCCACACACAACAAAAGAAAAUAAUUGAAUUUGGUUGUUUGCUCUCCAACCUCCUACUUCAGAAUUUCUAAUUCCAGGUUAGAUAACUUUACAUAGUCAUAUAUUUUUUUUCCUUUGUUUAUUUACUUUUUAUGAGAAUAUAUUUGUAUAUGUUCUAUGCAUAGAAUAUGAUUUUAUUUUUUUAGUUUUGUUUGUGGUAUAAUUUAUCAUGUCCUUAAUAAAAUUUGUAAUUGGUUUGUAGAUGAAGAAACAACCUAAAAUUGAUGGAUUUUUCAAAAGAAAACAUAUUGAAGUUACCUCAUGUGUACCUGAUUAUAAUAUUGAGACAAUAGCAUAUGAAAAUCGUUCUGGAUCUCCAAGAAUUGAGACUACUGAUAAUGAAGUUGAUAUUAGUACUUUAGAGCGCGACCCAGGGCUACGUCCGCAAAUAUGGAAUUAUCCUGUUAAUCAACGUGACGAAAUUCGACGAGUUUAUAUUAACGUCGGUCCAUACCAACCUAUACUUUCCAAGUAUCCAAAAUCUGGAUCAGUAACUCAUCAGCGUAGCUUUCAAAGUUCAUGGUUCAAAUUAUUUCCUUCGUGGUUAAAAUAUUCACCUGUGAAAGAUGCAGCUUUUUGUCUACCGUGCUAUCUUUUUAACAAACCAUCUGGACAUUCUGGAAAAAAUGCUUUCACUCUUGAGGGAUUUCAAAGUUGGAAGAAAGUUAGAGAUGGAAAAAAUUGUUCUUUUCUAAAUCACGAGGGGAAAGAUCCUAACUCCCCCCAUAAGAUUGCUGAAAUAUCAUGUUUGGAUUUGAUGAAUCAAUCCCAGCAUAUACAGAAAGUCGUUGAGAAUUAUUCUUCCCAACAAAUUGCAGACAAUCGACUACGACUUAAGGCAACAAUUGAAGCAGUCAGGUGGCUUGCAUUCCAAGGAUGUGCUUUUAGAGGCCAUGAUGAAAAAAAGAAUUCAAUCAAUCGUGGAAAUUUUCUUCAAAUGUUAGAAAUAUUGGCUGCAUAUAAUGAAAAAGUUGCUGGAGUUAUCUUAGAUAAAGCUCCCAAAAAUGCCUCUUACACAUCACCACAGAUCCAAAAAGAAAUUUUACAUGUUUUUUCAACUAAGGUGAAGAAAGCAAUCUGUGAAGAAAUUGGGGAAUCAAAGUUUUGUAUAAUUGUUGAUGAAGCACGUGAUGAAUCCAAGAGAGAGCAAAUGGCUAUAGUGUUGCGAUUUGUUGACAAAGAAGGUCUUAUUCAGGAGCGCUUUUUUGGGCUUGUUCAUGUGUCAGACACUGAGGCAUUAACUCUGAAAAAAGGUAUAUACUCUAUAUUGUCUCAUAAUUCACUAAAUAUUCAAAAUAUUAGAGGACAAGGAUAUGAUGGUGCAAGUAACAUGCGAGAUGAAUGGAAUGGGUUACAAGCUUUGAUUUUGAAUGAUUGCCCAUAUGCUUACUAUGUUCAUUGUUUAGCACAUCGAUUACAAUUGGCAUUAAUUGCAUCAUCAAGAGAAGUUAUUCAUGUUCACCACUUUUUCACUAAAUUGACUUCUAUUGUCAAUAUUGUUGGUGCUUCAUGCAAGCGUAAUGAUGAACUGAAAAAUGCUCAAGCUGCUGAAAUUGAGCACAUGAUUGCAAUUGAUGAGCUCGAGACUGGGAAAGGAAUGAACCAAAUUGGCACCUUACAACGUGCUGGUGAUACUCGUUGGGGUUCUCAUUUGAAAUCAAUUACUAGCUUGGUAAAUAUGUUUAGUGCAACAUGCAUAGUUCUAAUUAAUAUAAUUGAUAACGGAACUACUUAUUCUCAACGAGGAGAUGUUGAUGCAGCUUAUGAGGCAAUGACUUCAUAUGAAUUUAUCUUUAUCUUACAUCUUAUGAAAGAACUUAUGGAGAUCACUAAUGAUCUUUGUCAAGCUUUGCAAUGUCAAUCCCAAGACAUCAUAAAUGUCAUGAAUCUUGUUUCUUCCACUAAAGCACUCAUCCAAGAAUUAAGAGAUGAUGGAUGGGAUUCUUUGCUUACCAAGGUGAAUUCUUUUUGUGAAGCACGGAACAUAGAUAUCCUAGAUAUGAAUGCUCGUUAUGUUGCAAGACGAGGUAGAGCUCGCCAUCAACAAGAUGAUUUUACGAUUAAGCAUUAUUAUAUGAUAGAUAUUUUUUAUGCUACAAUAGAUUCUCAACUUCAAGAAUUAAAUAGCAGAUUUAGUGAUCAAACAACAGAGCUGCUUAUUAUGGGGUCGGCUUUGGAUCCUCGUGAAGUGAAUAAAUCUUUUAGGAUUGAUGAUAUUUGUCAAUUGGUAGAUAAGUUCUAUCCACAAGACUUUGAAGAUCAUGAGAAGAUAGGUUUGAGAAGACAACUUCAACAUUUUGAGAGUGACGUCGUUAGACUUCCAGAGUUCAAAAACUUGUCAACAAUUUCUGAUCUAUCUCAAUGGAUGGUAACGACUAGAAGAUCAACGACAUAUCCACUUGUUUAUAGAGUGGUUGUGCUUGUGCUUACUCUUCCUGUUUCUACAGCAACUGUAGAGCGAUCAUUUUCUGCUAUGCGUAUAGUAAAAACUAGGCUCCAUAACAAGAUGGAAGACGAAUUUCUCACAGACUCUUUGAUUAUGUACAUCGAAAGGGAAAUUGCAGAAAAGUUUAGCGUUGACUCAAUCAUAGAUGGUUUUCGAGAUAUGAAAGAACGACGAGUGUUAUUUUGAUACCUAAUUGAAUAAACAAUUUUUUUUUGCCUUUAAUUUUUCCAAACAUUGUUAAGGUUGAGAAUUUGAAAUUUUUUAAUGUCUUGUUUGGUUUAUAUAUUGGCCCCCCAACACAUAAAUUCCUGGCUCCGCCACUGCUCCGGUGACUUGCAUUGUUUCCAAUGAUUUGAUGUCGCCAUUCGCCAUCAAAGCUGCUGAAGAAUUUGGACUCCCUAUUGCACUCUUCUUCACUAUUGCUGCAUGCAGCUUCAUGAGAUUUAAACAAUUUCGCGCUUUGGUCAAAAAAGGACUUGCACCACUCAAAGGUGAGAUUAAUUCAUAUUUACACUUUCAGUUUGUCAUUCUGUUCUCAUAAUUUAUUUAUUUUACGAUUUCAAAACACUCACAAAAACAAGUGCAGAAUGACAAAAUGAAAAUGAGAAUAGCAUCGUACCUUAUAUAUGAUCCAUCGAUUAUGUAACUGCUUCUUUUUUUUUAAGCUAAUUAUUAAUUGGUUGUUAAUGUAGAUGAGAGCUGCUUAACGAAUGGAUUUUUAGACAAGGUCAUAGAUUGGAUUCCAGGAACGGAAGGUAUACGUUUAAGGAAUCUCCCAUUCUUCUUUCGAACCACAAAUCCGGACGAUGUCUUGCUUAACUUGAGCAUGGUGGUAACAGAUGAAAUUCAUAAAGCUGCAGCACUUGUUCUUCUGACAUUUGAUGCUUUGGAAAAAUAUGUUCUGAGUGCACUCUCAUCUAUGCUUAAUAUUCCACCCGUUUAUACCAAAAGACCCGUUGAAGAACUCAUGUUGGGUACAGUCUAUGGAAAGAAGAAACUGAAUGCCUCCAAUGGCUGAACUCAUGUUGUUUAUUUUAAAUCUCUAAUAAAAAUCACAAUACGUUUAGUGUCGGAACAAAUGAUAGUUACAAAUUAAAUUAAAAGUGAUGCUAAAGACAAUCGCUUACGUAAGCAGUUGCAUCACAUCUUUUAAACUAAUAUAUAACUUUUUAACAUUUAGUAAUUGGUACAUACUGAUAUGAGAUGUGCAGUCGUCUAUUCACCCGUUAAAUUUUUGGCUGGCAGUGCGGUUAAACAUUAUGGCCAAAACAGAAUGAUAUGGGUGCUGAUUUUUUCAAUUUCCUUUUGUCCACUUCCAUUCAUUUAUAUUUUUAAUAUUUUUUUUAUGAUAACAUACAAUUUUCAAUAAGUGAGUAUAAAUGAACAAAAAAAAAAGUAAGAAUAUGUUGUAAAUGCAUGAGUUGGUGGAUGACCACCAUACCUCUUAAUAUUCCACCGUUGGAUUUUAUGUAACCUAUGUACUAAGUAUUUGUAAUUAGUACUUGUAACCUAUAGGUAUAUUGUAAAUGAUGGUAUUCAAUCUCCUAUCUUGUAAGCCUAUAAAUAGGUGGUUCUACCAAAGAUUAAGAGAAGAAUAAACAUGGUGAAACUUUGUCUUUAGCAUAUCACUUCUCUCUACAUUUUCUCCCUCUAGUUUUAUAACACGUUAUCAGCACGACAUUGCUCUUGGUAUGUUUUCUUUCUCUGAAUUUUCUUUCUUCUUAUAUGAGCUAAAGUCAUCACAUGGUAUAGAGUUUCUUUGUACUCACCAUCAGACUUCAUCAUGCUUGUUUAAGAAAAAAAAAUUCUUAUUCUUAUUACACAUGAAUAUAAUGCCAUGUUUUUGUUUUUAUUUGUUUGUUUAUUUAAUUUUAAGUAUGAUCUUAGUUAUUAUGAUGAGUUUGAAUUAUACAAAAGAUCAGGGGCCCGAAGUUCCGUGAUCCUCAUCAUAUAACUAGAUUAGGAUAUAGAGUCCUGUUGAUUGAAUCAGAACCUGAAGUUCUUUGAUUCCAAAUAAUUGAGGGCGUGAAGUUCCGCGAAUUUAAAGAGCACAUAAGGACAUAAAACUCCUCGAUUUUGUAUUAAUCAAAAUCAGAAUUCCAUGAGGCCUACAUAUGUCAAGAACUUGAACCAGAAGUUUCGAGUGCAUAUACAUCGAUUUGAGUAUGAAGUUCAAAGCACAACUAUUAAUUCAAUUUAUUUAGAUCUACGUAUUCGUACCUGAAGUUUCGAAUAUAUAUUGAUAUGAACCUGAAGUUCAUAGUUUUUCAUGGAUCUUAAUACUAUAUAUGAACUUGAAGUUCAUUACUUAUUUGUGCCUAUAUGAACCUGAAUUGGUUGGAAAUCCAAUUCUUAAACUUGUAGUUUUAUCUACAUAUUGAAUCCACAUUAAUAUUGGAUUAUCUUGGAAUUUCAUAAUCUUUAAUUGAUUUAUUUUAUUCCUUGUUUAUACCACUUUACUUAUUUUAUUAUAUUAUAUUUUAUUUAUGUUAGGUUAUUAAUUAAUUUCAUUUUACAAUGGUAAUGUUUUGUAUUACCGCCCCAAUAUUGAUAGCCAGAGGCGUCUAUUGGAGAAACUUCCUACGUUCUUUUGUGGGUAGGAAGUUUAUGAUGUUAUGAACCAAAAGUUCUUGAGGCCCCAAUAUUACACAACUAUUAUAGUUGAAGAUUAUGAUGUCAUGAACUAGAAGUUCAUUGACCGAAUAACUUUUAUGUUGUGACAUGACUAUCUUGGCAAUCCAUGUCCCACAAUGAUGCAUAAGAUUUUUAUAAAUUUGUAAGGACAUAGUUUAAAGACUCAAAUUAUUGUCUUGUCCAACAAUAUCAUUACAAAGAACGCUCACAAAUAAAAGCUGUCAUAAGAUCAUCUCAGUCAAAAAUUGACUUUGAGCCAUCUUUCCUGAAAUAAUUCAAGGGGAUAUUUGUGAGCCUAUACAACAUCUAAUUAUGGAUCACUUCACCAGUUUUACUGAAUGUGCCUACUAAAAUGGUCACAUAUUUGAUAACGACUGUGAGUUUAUUUUCCUACAUUUUGAGACAAUUUUCCCGCCGUUAGGGGGAGAAAUGACAAUUCCUAAAGAACGUCGUGAAAUAGUGUUGAAUCAAUCCGCUUUUGUCUCAUCAAGAUAAUGCAUAUAUAAGUUGUACAUAUGCUAACAUGGAUUGAUAUUCUCGUAUCACAAUCCAUUAACAUGGUGACUAUAUAUAUAAUGCAUGCCUGAAGCAUGUCAGAAAUAUAGGUUCUAAAAACUUAACUCCCUAGAAGUGGAGAUUAUUUGAAAAAUUCAAGCCCUAUAAAAAAAUAACGCUCUAUAGGAGGUUAUGAUCCACAUAUUCUAAAUAAUUCAUUGUAAAAGAGGCGUUUGUCCCAUAAGUGACAACAUAAGCCCCUGAAGAGGCAUUGGUACCCCAAAGCAAUGAGAUGAUUAUAAAUUAUGCAUGUGCAUGCACAUAAGAAUUGUGGGAUCACAAAUUGAUGAUACAUUUGGUUUAUUAGUAGCUACUACAAUCAUCAAUGGCUAUGAUUAUAUUAAAUCACGUUUCAUGAAUGUCGACAAGUUAAGUGAUUGGCCAAAAAUGGAAAUAGGCAAUUCCAUUUAUCACUAAAUAAGAAGAGUUGGAUAUUGAACCUAUAACUCAAACACCAAAUUACAAAUGUUCAGUAUGAAGGUUACGAAUUGGUGUUUGUGAAGUGAAAUAAGAUCACUAAUAUGACAUAAGGUUUCCUGGGAGAGACAUGUGGUUUUAGUCUCCAAUCUCAUCGUAAAUGCAUCCACAUUUCUAUAAGUGCGGUUGUUACUUUAACGCAAAACUUAUAGUAUGUGUUAAAUGCAUAUUUAUUAAGACUAUAUGGUACAUGGAAAUCCUCAAAGCUCAUGAAAUAUUUGAGAUAUAUCGGAUGAAGCAACCUCUUGAAAGAUAUAAAGUACCACAAUAUUCUUAAUUAAGAGUUAACACUAAGAGUUUGAGUAUUUUGAAUUCAAAUUUGAUAUUGUUGUAACAGAUUCUAACUACUAAAUUAGUUGUUGAUACUCCUAAAGAUUUCAAUCAUUUGAAAAGUGAAAAGCAGGUUGAAUAGUGUGAUAGAUGAUCAUGUAUGAAGACAAUAUUGCUUGUAUUGCUCAAAUCAGAGAAGGAGAGAUAUUAAUCAGGGGGAGAUAUCAAUCAGGGGGAGCAUCCCAAUUCUACUACAUUCAAGGCAGAUGCGCGUUGUACUCUUUUUCCCUUCGACUAGGUUUUUGUCCCACUGGAUUUUUCCUAGCAAGGUUUUAACGAGGCAAUAUAAGCUCAUCCAACACCAUAUCAAUGAUUCAGAAGAAAGUUUCACUCUUUUUCCCUUCGCUUUGGUUUUGUCCCACUGGGUUUUCCAAGCAAGGUUUUUAAUGAGGAAACAAUGUCAUUGUAUGGUGGACAUCCAAGGGGGAGUGUUGUAAAUGCAUGAGUUGGUGGAUGACCACCAUACCUCUUAAUAUUCCACCGUUGGAUUUUAUGUAACCUAUGUACUAAGUAUUUGUAAUUAGUACUUGUAACCUAUAGGUAUAUUGUAAAUGAUGGUAUUCAAUCUCCUAUCUUGUAAGCCUAUAAAUAGGUGGUUCUACCAAAGAUUUAGAAAAGAAUAAACAUGGUGAAACUUUGUCUUUAGCAUAUCACUUCUCUCUACAUUUUCUCCCUCUAGUUUUAUAACAGAAUAUACAAUUUUCAACAAAAUGAAUGUAAUGGAGAAAAGAUGAGUAGAAAAAUCAACUCCCUUAAUUUAUGGUAUGUAUCAAUUAUUCAAUUGUUGGACAUCAUCUAACAUGUUGUUGUAAAUAGAAGAUUAAUUCCCUUUUAUAAAUAAUAUCUAGAUUGUGAUAGAAAACAAGGAAGUUACUCAGGAUGAAGACAAUAUCCUAUUUAAAGAGAAAUAAUGUUACAAGGGACUUUUGUUUUGUUUUUAGCACACGAUACGAAUCUAAUAAAGUGGUCACAAAGGAAGAGAAGUGCACGAAUAAAUGCUCUAAACUAUAUGAGUUAGAGCAUUUAUAAUUAUACUCCUUAUUUUUUAAUUAAAAUUUAGUUAAAAACACUGAAAACCUAUUUUAGGAGCAUUCAUAAUCAUGCUCCUCAUUCAUAAUAAUCUCACCCAUUUCACUGGGAAUACAUUUGUAUGCUCUCACCCAUUCUAGGCAUAGCCAGACUACAUGCAUCACCGGUCUACACACUCCAUUUAGUUGUUUGACUGGUAAGACUUUUCUUCUUCCUUUUUUUUCUUUUAUAAGUUUAACAUUAUCCUACAUUUUCUUACCUUGACCCAUACCCGAAUAUGCGUACUCCGCAAGUAUAAAGGGAAAAGUCAAGCGAAUAAUAAAAAUAAUAAUACAACAUGUAUUCAAUUUGAUCUUGGCCACUCCAUCACUUCAAGAGAGACAACAUAAGCAACAAACACAUACACAUACAUAAUCUGCAUUUGCUCUUAAUUAGUGCAAAACACAAACACAAACAUAUAAUCUAAGCCAGAUGGGUUCCAAGGCAGCAGCUAAUAAACCUCAUGUUGUUUGUGUUCCAGCUCCAGCUCAAAGUCAUAUCAAGGCAAACCUCAAAUUUGCAAAGCUCCUCCACCAUAGAGGUGUUCAUGUAACCUUUGUCAACACAGAGUUCAACCACAACCGCUUUCUUAAAUCUCUUGGACCCAACUCCCUUGACGGGUUGCCCGAUUUUCGAUUCGAAACUAUUCCUGAUGGCCUUCCAGCUGGUUCAGAUCAAGAUGCAACCCAAGAUGUCUAUUUGGUUGCUGAUUCCAUCCGCAACAAACUCUUGGCCCCAUUUCGAGACCUCCUUAUGAAACUCGAUGACAGAUCAACUUCCAACAGUGAUAUCAAUCCUCCAGUGACUUGCAUUGUUUCAGAUGGUUUCAUGCCAUUCACAACCACAGCUGCAGAAGAAAUUGGAGUUCCUGUAGUGCUUUUGUUCACUAUUGCUGCAUGCAGCUUCAUGGGCUGUAAGCAAUUCCCUGCUUUGGUGGAAAAAGGUCUUGCGCCACUCAAAGGUGAAAUAAAUGAUUUUUAAGGAAUUAUUUGUAUGAUAUUAUUGAUUAACAAAUGUUAAAUCUUACUUUGGGUGUUAAUGUAGAUGAGAGCUGUUUGACAAAUGGCUUCUUGGACAAGGUAAUAGAUUGGAUUCCAGGAAUGAAAGGUAUUCGUUUGAGGGAUCUACCGACGAAUUUUCGAACUACAGAUCCCAAUGACAUCUUGUUUAACUUCGCCUUGGAAUCAAUUGAAAGAGUUCAUAAAGCUUCAGCAGUUGUGCUUCAUACUUUUGACGCAUUGGAGCCAGAUGUUUUGAAUGCUAUGUCAUCUAUGCUUCCACUUGUUUAUGCCAUUGGGCCUGACCAAUUACUUCUCAAUCAAUUACCAGAAGACCCUUUGAAGCAUAUUGGAUACAGUUUAUGGAAAGAAGAAACUGAAUGCCUUGAAUGGCUAAAAUCCAAGGCACUAAAUUCAGUUGUAUAUGUGAAUUUUGGCAGCAUAGCAGUCCUGACACCACAACAACUUGUUGAGUUUGGAUGGGGACUGGCAAAUAGUAAGCUUCCUUUCUUUUGGGUGAUUAGGCCUGAUUUGGUUGUUGGUGAAUCAGCAAUUUUGCCACCUGAGUUUGUAGCUGAAACAAAGGAAAGAGGUCUAAUAGCAAGUUGGUGCCCACAAGAGCAAGUCCUUAACGACCCAUCAGUCGGAGGGUUUUUGACACACAGCGGUUGGAAUUCAACCAUUGAGAGUUUGUGUGCAGGAGUGCCUAUGCUUUGUUGGCCAUUCUUUGCAGACCAACAAACAAACUGUUACUAUGCUUGCAAUGAAUGGGGAAUUGGCUUGGAGAUCAACAAUGAUGUCAAGAGAGACCAAGUAGAGAAGCUUGUUAAAGAGUUAAUGGAAGGAGAGAAGGGUAAGAAAAUGAAAAAUAAGGUCAUGGAGUGGAAGAAACUAGCAGAAGAAGCCACCAGUCCACAUGGUUCUUCAUCCACAAACUUAGACAAUUUAGUGAAUCAAGUGAUCUUAAGAAAAACCUAGAUUAUUUUCAUUAAAGUUUUGAUCCUGCGUACCAUUAGGCCUCUCUUCUCUCUCUAGUCUGAAGAGAGAAAAACCCUAGGAACCUGCAGCAGCCGCCGGCCCCCUCUAUUUCCUAUCGUCCCCUCAUCCCCUCCCCUACUCCUUUCCCAGCUCUUCCCCUUUUCUCUCCUCUUUUCUUCUCCCCAUCUUUCUCCCCUCUCCUCCCUCCCUUAUACCCGUCCCCUCUGCUUCUCACCCGCCCUUCCUCCUUGUCCCUCCUUUCCUUUUGCUCCUUCCCUUCCUCGCAGUUUUAGGCUGGGAUUGUGUGACUGGCUCUUUUGGUUUUUUGGUUUUCUUUUUUGCAGAUUCGGAGUUGUCAAUUUUCGAGUUGCUUUGCUUUGCAGAGCUUUUGUCGACUUUGAUUGCUGCUUUUGAUUUCGUGUUUUUUGUUUGCAGUUUCGGUGUUGAUUUUAGUGCUUGUUGCCGUGUCUAUUUGUAUUUUAUUUUAGUUGUGAGAGUUAAAAGUUGUAAGGGGUUGUAAUUGCACUUGUAGUUUGGGCGUCUAGGUCGUUUGGCUGUAGGGCGGCUUGUGUUCUAUGCCUGAUUUAUCUAGGCUCUUGGUUUCUUUACCGCAUUUCCUCUGGCUAUGUGUGGCUAUGAGGGGAGAUACAAUGUUGAUGUCGGUGUAUUUCUUCCCAUGUGGAUUAACCUUUGGUGGGUUACUCUGCUUCCACAUUUGUAUUAACCUUAUAUGGGUAUAUGUUUUUAUACUCGCUUUUACAACUAACAACAUUUGUGCUUGAUUUAUAAAUGGAAUGCAUCGCUUCCUCUUAAAAAGAAAAACCUAGAUUUUGUUAUCCUGUGUACACCUUUCCCUUGUUGUUUCUUUAGCAAGAUCAAAUCUCGUAUAUGUAUCGUGGUUGGAAGAUUUAAUACAUCUCAAUUUAAAUAAUACUUGGAUCUAAUAGACCUCGUGUGAAAGGCCAGUUUGGCAUUGCUGUGCUGGAAAAAUAAUUGUUGUUGGAUUUGCUGUGAGAGAAAUUAGCUGUAAGAGAAAGCAGUUUGGCGUUUGGUAAAAUUUUUGUUAAAAGUAUUGUUGAUAUUGAUUUCCGCAUAAUCAAAAAAUGAUUGCCGCAUAAUCAUUAAUCCCUGCGCCUUUUUGAAACUGAUUCCUGUAUAAUCAGAAAAUUAAAACACCUCAUUAGUUGCUUUCCCUUAUAGCUUUCUCUCACAGCAAUUUUUAACAAUAAGUGAUUUUCUCACAGCUUACCAAACGGGUUGAACUUCCCAAAUUUUUUUUAAAAUCACUUAUCAACCCCAAAUAAGCAAUGCCAAACAAGCACUUAGUCUAUCAAUACGCACACAAAACAAAAAAACAAAAAAAACAAAAAAUAUCCACAUAAAAAUGCAUGGCACAUGUUCAUAUUUUUUAUCCAUCAAUACGAUUCCACCUACUCAAAACAAAAACCAUAGAAAAAGAAAAGGCACCAAAAACCAACAAUAUAUAGGCACGCCAAGUAACAUCUGCAUAUUAACUCACAAGAUCAGAGAUAGGCAUGUUUCUAUAGACGUAGCUGAUCAGAAGCCUCAUGCUUUAUGUAUCCCAUUACCAUAUCAAGGCCACAUAAGGCCACUCCUCAAGUUUGCAAAGCUCCUACACCAUCGUGGUUUCCGAAUCACCUUUGUCAAUAUCACAUACAACCACAUACGCUUUCUUAAAUCUUUAGGCCACGACACCCUUGACGGCUUGACAGACUCAUUUUGAAACCAUCCCAGAUGGUCUCCCUCCUUUAGAUUCUGAUUCAACUCAAGACAUCUAUGCUAUUUGUGACUCCAUUAAUCAUAAUUUCUUGGGUCCAUUUCGUGCCCUCCUCGCAAAGCUCAAUGAUGCUGCUCUCAAAAUAAUUAGGGUUUAAACUGAUAUGUUUAUUCUUCUCUUAAGGAGGAAUAUAUAUACUACAUACAGAGUGAGUACAAAUAGGAAAUAUGUACAAAAUCUCCUAAUUCUACUCAAAUUAGAUAAUUACAAUCAAAUAUAAAUUCUAUUCCUAAUAGGAACGUUGACUCACGCCAACACUCCCCCUCAAGUUGGGGCAUAGAUAUUGGUAAUGUCCAACUUGUCAAGUGAGUCUUCAAAUCAGCACUUUGACACGACAUGAGUCAACAUAUCUGCAAGCUGCUCCGAAGAAGGCACAAAAGGAAUAGAAAUUAACUUAUGCUCCAGCUUCUCCUUAAUGAAAUACCGAUCAACUUCUACAUGCUUAGUUAGAUCAUGGUGCACAUGAUUGUUAGCAAUUUCAUAUGCAGACUGACUAUCACCGUAGAGCUUUGUAGCAGCAUUUGGUCUAUCCCAAUUUCAGCAAGUAACCACCUCAACCACAGUAUUUCACAAACCCCUUGGGCAAUCCCUCUGUACUCAGACUCUGCAGAGGACUGAGUCAUAACGUUUUGCUUCUUGCUACGCCCCGUAACUAGGUUACCACCAACAAAUGUGAAGUAACCUGAUGUAUAACGUCUAUUUGUAAUAUUCCCUGCAUAAUCUGCCUCAGUGUAACCUUCUAAAUCCAAGUGGCCAUUUUUCUUAAAUAAUAAACCUCUCCCAGGAGUAGACUUUAAGUAACUCAGAAUACGUAUUACAGCAACCAUAUGAUCCUCGCUAGGUGACUGCAUAAAUUGGCUAGCCAAUACUACUCCCCCUUGUACAUCUAGCCAGUUAUGUCCUUCACUACUAGUCUGUCCCUGAAGGACAUGCUCAGGUGUAUUAGAGAAGAACAUUUCAUCCUCAAUAAAGGUAACAUCCAUAGAGACAUAUAGAUGUCUGGUUGCAAGACGAUAGAAUCGGUAGCCUUUCUAAUGAGAAGAGAAACCCAGAAAAACACAGCAGAGAUCACAGAGGUCUAGUUUACUCCUCUGAUUCUGAUGGAAGUGAACAUAGAUGACAUAACCAAACACCUUUGGAGACAGAAUCAACAUAGAAGGGGCAAGGAUAUGAUGGGUUAGUACCUGCAUAGGAGUUCAGAAAUCCAAAACUCGUGAAGGUAGACGAUUCAAGAGAUGGACUGUAUAAGUAACAGCAUCCAUCCAGAACCGCUUUAGAACUGAUGCACCAAGCAGCAGAGCAUGGGUUGCAGCAAGGAUCUACCCAUUUUUACAUUCAACAACUUCAUUCUGCUGUGGUGUUUGAGGGCAAGUAGUCUCAUUAAGUACAUUCUUAGUGUGAAAAAUAUGGGAUAACGCCGAAUUAACAAAUUCUCCACCAUUAUCAGAUUGAAAAACUUUGAUAGGGAGCAUAAAUUGAGUUUGAAUCAUCUUAUAGAAACGCUGAAAAAUUUCAACCACAUCACUUUUAUUUUUCAUUUCAUAUAACCACAUCAUAUGAGUGCAAUCAUCCACAAAUAACAUAAACCAGCAAACUCCCAAGGCUGUAGAAACAGGGGAAGGUCCCCAAAUAUCAUAAUGAACUAAAUCAAAUGGCAUAAGCCGUUUAUUGCAACUUUGAGGGUAGGAUAUUCGACGCCUCUUAGCUAAAAUACAAGUCUAACAUUGGAAAACAGACUCGUUGACACAACUAAAUAAUGCAGGAAACAAAUGCCGUAACAAUCCAAAGGAGGCAUGAACAAAUCGGCAACGUAGCAACCAAAUCCGGCGAUGCUGAGAAGUUUCGGCGCUACCAGCACAAAGAACCUGACUAGUUGCCACAUCAUCCACAUAAUAAAGCCCUCCCCCCUCCCCCUCCCCCCAUUUUAGUACUACGACCAAAGAUCUCCUGAGUCUGGAUAUCUUGUAGUAAGACAAAAGAUAGAUACAUUAGUACAACACAGUUUAACUACUGAGUAACUUGCAGCAUAGAUAAUAAAUUACUAGACAAAAAUGAAACUAGUAAGACUUUGUCCAAUGGUAAAGCAAGUGUCAAGAGUAUAGAACCAGCCCUUAUGACAGGAGCAGCAGCAUUAUUAGCAGUCAGAAUAUGAUCACGAUGAGGCGGAAGAGUAGUAGAGAAUAAAGCAGCAUUAUGCGUCAUAUGGUCAGUAGCUCCUAAAUCAAUAAUCCAACCCGUAUCGCGUGCAUCACGAGCAUGGAAAGCCUUGCCAAAGUUACUUGGAGGCGGAGGUGUUGGAGUGCUUGAGACCGCGGUCAAGGUCGGAGGAAGAGUAGCAGUAAGGUAGCUAUGCCUAGUGGUAAUGUCAGCCACAGAAGUGGGGGUAACAGCCACAUGAGCUUUGUUGUCUAGUUGUUCCUUUUGUAAACACCUCCGCUUCUUCUCCCAAUAUGGUACCCCAUGCAAUGCCAGCAGGUAGUAUGUCUCUUUUAACCACAGUGAUCACACUUAAGUUUAUCUUUUUCUGCAGAAGUCAGGCAAAGAGGUGGAACAGCAUAAGAGCCAAACCCUGUAUGCCUAGAAACCAGACCAGUUUUUUGGAAGCAAACACAACAGCAGGUUCCCAAAUCUUGGUGCCUGAUCUAAGCAUAGUAAUCUGGCGUUGAGCCUCUCGACAGACCAUAAAAAAUACAUUGUCGAUACUUGGAACUUUAUCACUUCAUAGAAUGUCAUUGCGGACCUUGUCAUAAGUAUCGUCAAGGCCAACCAAAAAAUCAUACACACGAUCUGCCAUAAUAGCAGCCUGAAAAGUCUUCAUAUCAUCAGCACACUUUAUCUGAAAAAGACGUCUCUUGUCCAAUUCAAGCCAGAUUGCCUGAAGUUCGACAAAAUAUGUAAACACACGACUACCCUCUUGCUUGAGACGGGUAGCCUGGCACUACAGUUCAUAGAGCUGGGAUAUGUAAGAGCCAUCAUAAAACAUUUGAUUAUCAGCAUCCCAAAUUUUCUUAGCAGUAGGUAAAGUAUGAAACAUAUUCAACAAAUCGGGUUCCAUAGUUUGCAACAUCCAACUUUUCACAAUAACAUCAGCAAUUUUCCAUUUCCCAACUUUUGGGUCUUGGGAAUCAAAGGCAUCAGUGUCGCCAGUCAAGUAACCCAAUUUGCCUUGUGUAGUAGCAUGAAGUUCGAUCAUCGAAGCCCAUAUCUCAUAGUUGGAUCCAUUCAAUUUGAAUCUCAUAGGUAGAUUGGUGGACGAUUCGAUGUGAACCGUCAUAAUAGGAGUAGAAGAAGAAGAUUCAGUGACAUCUGGCGUGGUGACAGAUGGCAGCAGUAGUAGAAGAUUAGGUGGCAACAACAACAGUAAGAGAUAUGAGACGGCACAGGCUUAGGUGUAUAGGCGGCACAUGUUUAGGUGUAUAUGCUAGAUGCAGCAAAAAAUAGGUAUUUUUUAGGAUUAGGGUUUUGACGUUGUAGAGACGGAUCGGAACCCGCUCUAAUACCAACUCAAAAUAAUUAGGAUUUAAACUGAUAUGUUUAUUCUUCUCUCAAGAAGGAAUAUAUAUACUACAUACAGAGUGGGUACAAAUAGGAAAUACGUACAAAAUCUCUUAAUUUUACUCAAAUUAGAUCAUUACAAUAAAAUAUAAAUUCUAUUCCUAAUAGGAACGUUGACUCACGCCAACAGCUGCAACUUCCAACAAUACCCCUCCUGUGACCAGCAUUGUCUUAGAUGGUUUCAUGAGCUUCUCAAUCAGAGCUGCUGAAGAACUUGGACUUCCUAUUGUGUUGUUCUUUCCUACUGCUUCUUGUGGCUUCAAACAUUACCUCGCUCUCGUAGAAAAAGGAUUUACACCACUAAAAGGUAAAGGGAUGAGCCAGAAAUUAAUUUGUUAUGUUAUGUUUUUUAUUAACUAGUAACAUUCUAUUUUUUAUCUUAACUAUAGUAACAUUAAUCUGUUUUCAAUGUUGCAGGUAAGAGUUAUGUAUCAAAUGGUGUUAGAGAACAAUCAGUAUAAAACCAAAUAACAGAAUAAUAACAAUUCGAAAUAUGCUUCAAAUCAAUACAACAGUAAAAUAAAUUAUAGAGUACUGAUUUGGAUUCAUGAUAGAGUCCUGCAGAGUUGCAGAUUAAAUCAACAGAGCCCAAGGCCCAAGGCCCAUCUUUUGACAAUUAUAUAUAUAUAUAUAUGAUGAGGCCUAACUUUGCCUCCACUAGGCCCAUACCCUAUUUAGUAUUUCUAAAGUGUUCGCGAUUAUAAACCAUGAAAGGAAACAACUCCCUUCCAAUGUGGGACUAAAUGCAAGUGUAUUUUUCCUAUACAAACUGUAACAAAUGGCUACUUAGACACUGUCAUAGAUUGGACACCGUACCGAGAAUGAAAGAUAUCCGCCUAAGGGAUCUUCCAACGUUUCUUCGAACUACAAAUCCAAAAGAUAGUGUCUUUAUCUUAACAAGGGAAGCAACUAAAAGAGCACAUAAAGCCUUUACAGUUGUUAGUCAUACUUUUGAUGCAUUGGAGCAAGAGAUUUUGGAUGCUCUCUCAUCUGUGCUUCCACAUCUCUAUGCCAUUGGCCCUCUCCAAUUACUUGUCAAUCAGAUACCAGAAGACCUUUUGAAGCCAAUGGGAUAAAGCCUAUGGAAAGAAGAAACUGAGUGCCUUCCCUGGCUAGACUCAAAGGCACCAAACUCAGUUGUUUAUGUGAACUUUGGCAGCGUGGGUGGUCAUGACACCACAACAGCUUGUUGAGUUUGGUUGGGGACUUGCAAAUAGUAAGCAUCACUUCUUCUGGGUAAUUAGGCCUGAUUUGGUUGUUGGUGAAACCACGAUUUUGCAGCUGAAACCAAAGAAAAGGGUCUAAUAGCAGGUUGGAGCCCUCAAGAAGUGCUUAACCAUCCAUGGGUUAAAGGGUUUUUGACACCCAACGGAUGGAAUUCAACUAUUGAGAGCGUGGCAGCUGGAAUGCCUAUGUUCUCCUGGCCAUUCUUUGCUGAGCAGCAAACAAAUUGUUGGUAUACUUGCAAUGGAAUGGAGACUGGGAUGGAGAUUGAUAACAAUAUGAAGAAAGAUAAAGUGAAGAAGCUUGUUAGAGAGUUGAUGGAGGGGGAGAAGGGUGAGAAAAUGAAGAAUAAGGCUAAAGAGUGGAAGACAUUGGCAGGGGAGGCCACUGGUUCACAAGGUUCUUCAUUCAAAAACUUGGACAAUGUGGUGAACCAUGUGCUUCUAAGGAAAAGCUAACCUCAGCUAAGCUAGAUGUGUACUCUUUUUCUUUCAUUCAAAUGUAAGGUGCGUGCCCAAUCUCCACUUAUGGCUGAAGUUUUGGCCCUGAAACAUGGUCUUUUGAGAGCUAAAGAGUUGAAUUUGGUUAAUGUUGUGGUGGAAUCUGAUUCUCAAGUGGCUAUUAAUUCUGUUCUAAGGGAUGUUUCUUCCUCUAAUUGGGAGUUGUUUCCUAUCCUUAAGGAUAUUAGGUUUCUUAAAGCCUCUUUCACAAAUCUGAAUUGGGCAUGGGUACCCCGUGAAGCGAACCAGUCUGCGGAUGCCGUUGCCUUGCUUGCCAGGAAGGGGAUGUGCUUGGAGUCGUGGCUUGUGCGACCUCCAUCCUCUCUAGUUCAUAUUUUAUCUCGAGAUGGUCUUCCUUGCCCUCCGCCUGGUGCUUAAUCUUUUGUUGUGUGGUUUUUCGUUUGUUUUGUUCUUUUGGCUUGUUUUUAGUUCUUUAGUUUGGUGUGUUUGUUCUGUUUGUUUGGUUGGGUUUGGCUCCCCUUUGGGCCUUUGCCGGUUGGCUUUUAUGAUAUCUUUGUUGACCAAAACAAAAAAAAGUCUUAAAUACGCAUUGUAUGACAACAGAAACAGGAAAAAUAAAUAAAUAAAUGAAGAGUGCAAUAUGUUAUUAAAAAUUGUGUUUUUCCUUUUUUGUAAAACUCUUAUUCAAACUUUUAGAUAUAAAUAAUAUAUAAAAUAAAGCUUUAACAGUAAAGUAAAAAUAAAGAAACAAAUAAAUAAGUAAAAUAAGUCAAGAGUAAGAAAGCAAGCCUGGUAUAGUGAAAGCACGUCAAAGAUGCUGUCCUAAAUCCUUUUUAGCCUCCCUACGUGCAGGUAAUGAUAGUCUACAAGACUGCAAGAUGCAACCCCAAUACGUGGACUCAAGGUCCGCUAUGAGCACGUUCACAAUUGGAUAGAAAUCAGAAAAUAAAUAGAAAAAUCAGAAAAAUUAAGUCAAUGAAUAGAAAAUCAAAACUGAAAAUUUAAAUAAUUCUAACUCUCAUAAUAAAUAAAAGAAAAUAACCAAAAUAUUAAAACAAAAUCAAAACCUUAAAUUUUAAAACCUUUCAAAUAAUAACUCAUUACAUCAAUCACAGUUCUGCAUUAUAUAUAUGACCUUAUUAAAAGGGGAUUAUCAAUACACAAAAACCAUAUAAAAAUGCAUAGCACAUUUAACAAAAUAUAUAUAAUUUCAAUGCGCAUACUCAAAAACCAUAGAAAGAGAAAAGGCAUGGCACCUCAAGCAGGGCCGUCCCUGAGAUUUUGAGGGCCCUAUUCGAAACUUAAAUUGGGGUCUUACAUAAUUUAAUACAAAAAUACUAUAAAUACAAAUUUGCCAUAACUUAAUGUCAUAAAUAAUUUUUUUAUAACUAAAAGUCACCAUCAAUAAACAUGUAAUGACAAUCAAAAAUCAAAUUCAUAAAAAUUUAAAUGUUUCCAUUUGAUAAAGUUAAAUAUUAGUAUGUUUGGUACAAAAAUAAGCUCAUUGUGCCCUUAUAAGGUCCCUUUCUACCUCCUAUAAGCAAUCUGUGUUUAAUAGGAAGAAAAAAAAAAGGCAAUCUGUGUAGCAUGUGAUUCUUUAACAAUGAAUCUAUCAAGAUUCAAGAGCUCCUCUUUGAGAUUGAGUCAAUUCCUCGAUUUUUCUUUUUCUAAGUCUUUUUGUAUAUCCAAAAACGUAUUAUCUAGUCGGUGGCAUGUUUAGAUUACAAAGAAAAUUUCCAAAACCCUGUAACCUGGAAGAAAACCCCAGCAAGAAAUAGAUAAAUAUUUCUAAAAACCAUAUUCUCAUAUAACCAAUCAUCAUUAUGAUAAUAAUUUAAUAAAAUAAGUCAUGUAAUAUAUAGAUUAAAAUUUAGAUAUAUACCUGAAUUUGAAAUGAUCUUUGAAUCUGACUAUUUGAUUUUGAGUGGCCUUUAUGAAUUUAGGAAUUAGGGUUUUCUCUUUUUGGGGUUGAAAUUCUUGAAAUUGAAAAAAUAAGAAAAAUUGUCAAAGGAUUGAAAAAAGAACCAAAGAGAGAUUGAUGAAUGAUAAUGAUUAUUUAUUAGAAAAUCAGAGUUUAAGAGAAAGAAGAAGCCAUGAAUUUUUUUUUUUAAUUUUUUAAUUUUUUGGUUUUGAAUGAAGAAAGUAAUCUUCUUGGAAAAGAAUAUAUAUAUAUAUAUAUAUUUUAAAGGUGUGCUUUUGUUUUCCUUUUUUUUAAAAAGUUUAUAAUUAUGUAAAGUUUUUUAUUAACUUGUUAUAAUAAAAAUAAUAUAUAAAAAGCUGAAUAGAUUGACAUUAAUGAGAAUCAAACUCGUGCGCCUCUGUUAAGUGGAGAUGCACUGGAAAGUCAACUCCACCGGGCACACUUUUGUGCAAAUAUUUAGCACGCUAUAGUAUAUAUACACUUCCUAUAAUAUUAAUACACAUAUAUAAUAUAAAGGAAAUUUUUUUUUCGGGGCCCCUGUGCGGUGGCACCACUUGCACCACCCCAGGGCCGCCCCUGACCUCAAGCUGUAUUAUAAUUUCAGAAAAUCAAGAGAUGUUGACUUUGGCAGAAAAAAUUGGUGUGGCUUUAAUGAAGGCCACGUGUGACGUGCAGUGUUUUCAAAGGCAUGCCUAAUCUCGCCCCAGUGAGCGCAUCGGAGCGAGGCGAAUGGAAAUCGCCUCAAGCAUUCGUCUGUUUAGGUUACUGCACGUUUAGCUGAGUGAGGCGCAUCAAGGCGUGGUGAGGCAGAACGGCGCCGCUGUUUUUGCGUUCUACAAGCCCAUACCGCGAUGAAGAAGAUGAAGUUUUUUUUAGUUGUUCUUCCAUGAAACGACUUCAUUUUAAGGUUUUGGUUUCUUGAUUUUAAGUUAAACGCACGUUUUGACUCCCCAACUAUAUAACCUGGACCCAUAUAUAUUAUCUAUAUAUAUAAAGCAAAAUGCAGAGAAUGGUGAAACAUUUAAAAUACCAGAAAAUGCCCUUGGUUAAUGCAAACAUUAAGAAUUGAAAUUAUUAAUUAAAUGAGGAUAAUAUGGUAAAUUCAUAAUUUUUCGUAUUAAAAAAAUUAAAAUUAAAAGAAAAUUCAGAUAAUGGAUCCUAUUUUUAUGGAACACAAAUAUCCAUUAUCUUUUUUAAUUCUAAAAUAAAUUUAAAUUUUUUUAAAAAAAAACCUCUCGCAUGCGCGGAAGCGCGUGCAGAGAGGCUAGUAUACUAUAGCAUUAAUAUUAUACCCAAGUUGGACCUGAAGGAUAACCUGGCCAUAUAAGAUAUAACCCUUACCCGAUAUUCUUGUCCACUCUUUUGUUCCUCUUCUCCCUAGUUUUAUGAAGUUUCUAUUAAAUUCUUUUGCCUCUGUGGGGUGGGAUGAAUGAAUUGAAUUAAUCUUUUGAUGUUGAAUAAAUAUUUUUCAAAAAUGUGAAUUAGUACUAUAAUUUAGUUGUGUUGCAUUAUUUAUAAAUUUUUGUUAUUAAAAUAAAUUAAUGUUCAAAAGGCUUACGCCUCAAUGCUUUAAGGUUUACGCCUCACAUAGCGGUACUAAAAAUGCCUUGCCUAUACGCCUCGUCUUUGAAAACAUUGGUGACGUGUCCCUUUUGUGUUUUUCAGCCACACUUUGAAGAUCAAAGACGGAUUAGACCUUGGGCGGCCGAUCAUAGAGAAAUUCUCUAUUUGUUUGCCUCUAUGUUGCUGCAUACAGCAGCUUUGGUGAGGAGCCAAAGGUCCAUUUUGUCUUGUCUUUCUUGGUCAUUGGGUGUGAGCCUCAUUUGUGAGUCUCUCUUCUAUUUGGUGUGCUAGCGACUUAAUGAGCAACAAGGAGAGUCUGUAAGUUUCUCUUCUUCUGUUUUCGGUUGAUCUUCUGUUUAUGAGUUGCUUUAUACAUCUGUAUCUGUUCUCCUUUUGGUAUUUGUAUGUGAGUAAGAAUCUGAUAAUCGGGACGGACCUAUGAUUUGAAAAUUGAGUGGGCUAAAUUUACCUUACGUACAAAUCUAUUAAAUUUCGAUAGUUUUGGAUAAGUGGCCCAAAAAUUAGAAAAUACUGACAAAUUAUUGAUAUCGGUACAAAUUUGAUAAAAAAAGAUUGAAAUUGUGAGAAAAAUAUGAAAAUUGUUAGUGAAACUUUAGAAAAUGUUACAUAUUAUUUUAACACAAAAGAAGUGAAAGAAAUUUUUAUAUAUAAAAAAAGGAAUUAAAAGAAAUGUAUUGCACGGUGAGUUUGAGUGAUUUAAAUGAAUAUAUUACGAGUUAACAUGUUAAUUAAUGAAAGAGUAUUAAAACAAUAUAUAGAAGCAAUAAAUAUGGGAGUGUGUUAAAUAUUUAAACAAAAGUUGAGUAGUUUGUUGAUUGAGUCUAGUGGGGAUUGCCAGGAUGGACACAUGUUGGUUACAAAAAAUUACUGUUUUAGCAUUAUUUUUUACUUUUUGGGUGGGCUGGGUAUGAUAUUGUGGGCUGGUGAAAAGAAAGUCACCUGGGCUAUAUCCCAGGUUAGUCCAAGGGCAGGUCCGUCCGGGUGCAUUUGGGGUUUGGAUUGAGAGAGUCGAACAAUCUGCUGUUGUGGUGAGAGUGUUAAUUCCUUUGCGUGUUAUUUUGUUUUAUCUACAUCUGUUAUAUCUUGUAUUGUUAUUUUAUCAUUCUCACAUCUGUCAUAUCUUGUCUUGAAGAUUUCGUUGUUGACAUCUGAGACGUCCGUUCCAAAAAGACAAACGCCCCAGUGCUAACUACCAACAAGUUCAGAGACCAAAGAUCCUCAAUUUGCCUAUUUUAACAUGCCUGAGUGAGCCUAAAACAUAACAUAAUUAGGCAGUUUCCAUGGCAACAGCUAGUAAGCCUCAUGCUGUAUGCAUCCCAUUCCCAUAUCAAAGCCACAUAAAGGCACUGCUCAAAUUUGCAAAGCUCUUGCAUCAUAGAGGUUUUCAUGUAACCUUUGUCAAUACAUUGUACAACCAUAGACUCUUUCUCAAAUCUUUAGGCCCCAACUCCCUUGAUGGCUUGCCAGACUUUCAGUUUGAAGCCAUCCCAGAUGGCCUUCCAACUUCAGAUUCAGAUUCCACCCAAGACCUCGCUGCUCUUUCUGAUUCCAUAUUAAAUACAAACCACUUCUUGGAUUCGUUUCGCGAUCUCCUCGCGAAACUCAAUCUCGAUGCAGCAACUUCCAACACUUGUCCUGUGACUUGUAUUGUAGCAGAUGGUUUCAUGCCCUUCUCCACCACUGUCGCCGAAGAUCUUGGAAUUCCCUGGGUGUCGUUCUUCACUAUUGCUGCAUGUGGCUUCAUGGCCAUCAAACACUUUCGUGCCCUGGUGGAAAGAGGAUUUACACCCCUAAAAGGUGGAGGGCAGAGAGAGGAUAUCUCAAUGAAACAAGAUCUAUGUACUUGGGAAAGGUUCUUUUGUUAGAUGCUUAUAUUGCCGGACUGUGAAUUUGUACCAUACCUUCGAGUCGCACACAGAUUCACAGUCAAGCAAGAGAUCAUUUCCCCCUGUUUAUGAUUCAUUUGAUUCAUAUUACUUAACUCAUUAUAACAUUUCUUUCGUUAUUGUUAAUUUGCAGAUGAGACAUAUCUAACUAAUGGCUACCUAGACACAGUCAUAGAUUGGAUACCUGGACUGAAAAGCAUCCGGCUAAGGGAUCUUCCAAGCUUUGUUCGAACUACAGAUACCAAAAGCAUUGUGUUUAACCUUGGCAUAGAAGCAACUGAAAAGGCAAACAAGGCUUCUGCAGUUGUUAUACAUACUUAUGAUGCGUUGGAGCGGGAAGUUUUGGAUGCUCUCUCAUCUAUGCUUCCCCUUGUUUACACCAUCGGCCCUCUCCAAUUACUCGUCAACCAGCUGCCAGAAGACCCUCUGAAAUCUGUAGGAUACAGUCUAUGGAAAGAAGAAACUGGCUGCCUCCAGUGGCUGAACACCAAGGCCCCAAACUCGGUUGUUUAUGUGAAUUUUGGCAGUGUAGUCGUGAUGACACCAGAACAACUUGUUGAGUUUGGUUGGGGACUUGCAAACAGCAAGCAUUUUUUCUUGUGGGUAAUUAGGCCUGAUUUGGUUGUUGGUGACUCAGCCAUUUUGCCAGCUGAGUUUGUGGAUGAAACAAAAGAAAGAGGACUAAUAGCAAGCUGGUGCCCACAAGAGCAAGUCCUUAACCACCCAUCAGUUGGAGGGUUUUUGACACACAGCGGUUGGAACUCAACGAUCGAGAGCCUGAGUGCAGGGGUGCCUAUGAUCUGCUGGCCGUUCGUUUCGGAGCAGCUAACAAAUUGUUGGUAUACUUGCAAUGAGCUGGGCUGUGGGAUGGAGAUUGAUAGCAAUGUGAAAAGAGAUGAAGUUGAGAAGCUUGUUAGAGAGUUGAUUGAGGGAGAGAAGGGUGAGAAAAUGAGAAAUACGGCUGAUGGGUGGAAGAAACUAGCAGAAGAGGCCACUGGUGCACAAGGUUCUUCAGUCAUAAACUUGGACAACUUAGUGAACCAUGUGCUUCUAAGGAAAAGCUAAGCUAGAUGUAUUUAACAAAUAAACCUGCAACAUGUACUAAUUUUUCUGUUUGAUAAACUAGUUGGCUUGGGUUGGGAUACAUUACAUAUCACUAGCUUGACUUCCAUUUUGUUUAUGCUAUAAAAUGGUUAUGUACAAUUUUUAAUAUAUUUAUACAAAAAUUUACUUUGCAUUUCCUUUUUGUAAGAUAAAUAGGCUGGCUUUUUUUUUUCCUUCUUCUUUUUAAUCAAACAAAAAUGCUGAUUGAACAUUUUCGAAUGAUCAAAUGUCAAUUUUACCAUUUUACAUCCUUAAUUUGCCCAAACUAGUGAAGGAUGAUGGAUAGGUUGAAUUAGUAUCAAAAUAAGUCAAGAGUUCGAUCCAUUUAAUAUAACUAGAAAAGAAAAUUGCGUGACCGGCCCUCUUUCAUUGGCCCCUCUUCUCUCUCUUUCUUUGCAAACUCCUCAAUUGGACUAACGGCCCCUAACAGUCUAUAUGUCAAUCCGACUGAGGAGUUUGCAGAGACAUAAAAAUGAAGGGGAUGGGGUCGUGCCAGAUUGCAUGGAGGGGCCGACAUCAGGAACAGGUUGUCGAUUUUCCAGGUUUUAAUUUUUCAAUGUCGUUGAAUGGUAAAAUGGGAAAUUUCGAGGGGAAAAUUUAGGGGUUGGGUCGAAAUGGACUUUACCUAUUUUGAAAUGGUUAAAUUUGCUAAUUGCACUAACUUGGUCAAAAGGGGGGGAAAAAAAACCGGGAAAGUGAGAGAGAGGGAAAUGAGGGCCAAAAUCAAAAAAUUUAACGAAAACCAAAUAGAAAAUCGAAAUGCCUCCUGAUAUUGUCUCACUGGUGUGAGUCGAGUGAUUCAGAGAGACUGAGACGGAGACUGAGAGAGAAAUGAAGACUGCAGCAAAGAGUUUGGUCAUCGAGAUCGAAGACGACGACUUCCUUUCUCAGGUGGCGGCGGCUGAGGCCCAGGCGCUCGCCAGCAAGCGUCGGCGUAUCAGUAUCGCACCCUCUCCAAACUCCGCCGUUUCUUUCCAUUCCCGAGCGAAUCACAAAGAAGGCUUGGACAGCGAAGAUGGCGGUAUUUACACCGCGGCUCUCAAAGGAAGCCAAAGAGCAGCCCCCGAGCCUCCACGCGGUGGAUUUUCGACGGGGAGAGUCAAUGUCGGCCGGACCGGAAACGACGGCAUUUCUGCUGGCGGUGGUUCGUGCUUCAAGUGCGGAAAACCGGGACACUGGGCCCGCGAUUGUGAUGUCACCGGUGGAGGGUAUUAUGGUAAUUCCGGCGGCGGGGACUCUUCGGCUUCGAUUUCGGUUCCGGAGAAGAGCUGCCCCUGUGGAUUUGGCGCCUGCAUGGUGCUCACUGCAAAUACUGAGAAAAAUCGAGGUCGAAAGUUUUACAAAUGCCCUCUUAGACAGGUUCACAAAUCACAAACCCAUUUCUAUUUUUUUGUCUAUUUUAGGUUUAAGAGAGAAAUGGAUGCCAUGGUUAUUGGUUUUGUUUUCUUGAAUUUUGACAGGAAAAUGGGGGAUGCGGUUUCUUUGAGUGGUGUGACAAUGCUUCUGGGCCUAAUGUAAUGGCUAGUACUGGUAUGGGUAGUGGUAGCGCUACUAGGACCCAUAGUUAUGCUGCAUCUGAUUCUUCAUUUCCUGCUCUUGAAUGUCCCUGUGGCGGUGGUCUGUGCUUAAUCUUAACAGCCAAAACUGGCAAAAACAUCGGCAGCCAAUUCUAUCGUUGCCCUGCAAACGAGGUACCCUUUAACUUGUUGAGCCUAAUUCAUUGAUUUUGGCCCAAUUAGAUAGGAAUGCAUUGCAAAUUUGGAAUCUUUAUUUUAUAUUUAUUAUGUGUUUGAAUUAAAGUCUAAGAGAAACUGCUUGUUUGGACUUUGAAUCGUAAUAGAACUGGAUAGUGGCUUAUUGUUUUUUUUGGCUCGUUUAGGGAUGCGGUUUCUUCAAGUGGUGCAAUGAGCAUACUGGGGCAGCUGCUGGUGUUCUGGGUGGCAGCGCUGCCAAGGUGGAAAGGAAGGUUUUGAGUGAGGCAAGUAACAAUGGCUUUGGUGUAAGAACUGGUUCUUCCUGCUUUAAGUGUGGAAAGGAAGGGCAUUGGGCAAGAGAUUGCCCAGCAGUUCCUUCCUAUAAUGCUCCAGUUGAGUUGGAAGCACGGUCUGCUGCUUCACCGGGCUCUUGCUAUAAGUGUGGCAAGCCAGGGCACUGGGCGAGGGACUGCCCUUCUGGUUAAUGUGCAAUGUACUACUGAAAGACAACCAUUUCUUGAGUUUAAUGUUUGUGUUUUGAAGUUUUUCAAGACUAGCUGUUUCUUGAUAUGAUAUGAGAGAUUGAAAAGAGGAUUAACACAACCAUAUUAGGCCUGGUAAUAGUUUUCUGAGAAACUUGUGGAACAAGUAAAUAGAACUUCAGGAUCUAUGUUGUUUGCCCAUCAUUUUCAUUUCUCAAUAGAAAUUGCUCAUACAGAUUAUACACGUACAUGAAAUGAAUGCUAACACAUGCGUCAAUGAGCUGUAAAUUCUUGGUGAGACUGAUGGGUUGAUACGUUCAAAGAUGAGUAAUGUUACCCAUGUCUUCUGUUAGAGAUGUAGUUUUUCGGCAUUUUUUGUCGGUUCUAAUUUUCGUUAUUCUUUCAGCAUUUUUUUCACAAAAGCCGCCUUCAUUAUGAUUUUUUUUUCACCACAUGCACAUAAUCUCUAAGCUCAGUAUGGACCUUUUAAUGACAGUACAAUAGAAAGAGUAAACCCCACCGUCCUUUAUUUAUUGGACUCAUUGUGAAUUUGUGAUAUAACAAUCCCACACCAAAUUGUUGAUCGCCUAUAAAACUCUACUGCAUGCAUUUCUGUGAAUUGCAAACACAAAACUCAUACACUGACCAACAAAAACUAAGAUGAGUUCAAUUUCAGUUGAUAAUAAGCCUCAUGCUGUAUGCAUUCCCCUUCCAUUUCAAUCCCACAUUAAGGCAAUGCUUAAAUUAGCAAAACUCCUCCACCACAAAGGUUUUCAUAUCACCUUCGUUAACACAGAGUUUAACCACAAGCGCUUUCUUAAAUCUCUAGGACCAAACUCCCUUGAUGGCUUGCCUGAUUUUCAGUUUGAAACUAUUCCUGAUGGCCUUCCAGAUUCAGAUGCAGAUUCCGCCCAAGACCCCUAUCUUCUUUGUGAUUCUGUCAGAAAAAAUUGCUUGGCCCCGUUUCGUAAACUCAUCAUGAAACUCAACGAUACAACUUCCAGCAAUGUUAAUCCUCCAGUGACUUGCAUUGUUUCUGAUGGUUUCAUGACGUUCACCAUCACAGCUGCUGAAGAACUUAGAGUCCCUGUCACACUGUUAUUUACCAUUGCUGCAUGUGCCUUCAUGGUCUCUAAACAAUAUCCCAUUUUGGUAGAAAAAGGACUUGCGCCACUAAAAGGUGAAUAUAUUGAGCCAGUUGUUUAAUUUUAUGAUUCAUUAUGCUUGUUUUCUAAACAAAUGAAUUUUUUCUAUAAUUGCUUGGUUGUUGUAGAUGAGAGCUGCUUAACAAAUGGAUUUCUAGACAAGGUAAUAGAUUGGAUUCCAGCAAUGAAGGGUAUCCGUUUAAGGGAUCUCCCAAGCUUUUUCGAAACUACAAAUGAUCCUAAUGACAUUUUCCUCAACUUCACCAUUGAAGCAAUGGACAGAGCUCAUACAGCUUCAGCAGUUGUGCUUCAUACUUUUGAUGUAUUGGAGAGAGAUGUUUUGGAUGCUCUCUCAUCCAUGCUUCCACCUGUUUAUGCCAUUGGCCCUCUCCAAUUACUUCUCAAUAAGAUACCACAAGAGUACCCUGUGAAGCCUAUGGGAUACAGUUUAUGGAAAGAAGAAACCGAUUGCUUCAAAUGGUUAAACGACAAGGCACCAAAUUCUGUUGUUUAUGUGAACUUCGGCAGUAUAGCAGUCAUGACACCAGAAUGUCUUGUGGAGUUUGGUUGGGGACUUGCAAAUAGCAAGAAUCCCUUCUUGUGGAUAAUUAGGCCUGAUCUGGUGGUGGGUGCCUCAGCAAUUUUGCCACCUGAGUUUGUGGCUGAGACCAAGGAAAGAGCUCUCAUAGCAAGUUGGUGCCCACAAGAACAAGUGCUUAACCACCCAUCCGUUGGAGGGUUUCUAACACACAGCGGUUGGAAUUCAACCAUUGAAAGUUUGUCUGCAGGAGUUCCUAUGGUUUGUUGGCCACUCUUUGCUGACCAGCCAAUAAACUGUUGGUAUGCUUGCAAUGAAUGGGGCUGUGGCAUGGAGAUUGAUAAGAAUGUCAAGAGGGAGGAAGUGGAGAAGCUUGUUCGAGAGUUAAUGGAGGGUGAGAAGGGCAAGAAAAUGAAAAAUAAGGCCAUGGAGUGGAAGAAACUAGCAGAAGAAGCCACUGGUCCACAUGGUUCUUCAUCCACAAACUUAGACAAUAUGGUGAAUCAAGUGCUAUUAAAAAACAACUAGCAGGAUGUACUGCGCACAGUCUAUUGUCUAAGAAAUAAACUAGCAAGAUCGAUCAAGAUGAGCUAUGGCGAGGCUGUUGUCUCUGUUAGCAGCAGCAUAUGCUUAUGAAUAAUUCCGAACAUUACAUUCCCAAUGAGUUGUUAUCUAUAUACUGUUAAACACUUAUGUCUAUGAGCUGAACAAUCUUGCUGGAUUACAUGCUGAUUAAGUUCUAUAUAGAAGGGUCCUUAGUAAUUAUUUCUGAACAGUCUUGAGUAUUUGAUGAAUGAGUAGAGAGGACGAAGAGAAACUGUAAUCAAAUGUGCCAAAGAACUUUAAAUCCUUGGUAAGACUGAGUGGUUUUGUCAGAGGUGUAGUUUUUGUUUCCUUUCACAGCUGCCGCCUUUAAUAUGAGAAUAUUUUCAAUAUGUGGCCUUUACUGAAACUACAAUACAAAGAGCAAAGCCGGCCGUCAAUUGUUUAUUGGACUCAUCGGCAGAUAACAGACACACACUAAAAAACGUUGGCCUGUAAAAUUAUAUGUAUAUAUUGCAUUUGUGCUACAACUGAUACACACAAUCUAAGAUGAGUUCAGUUUUAGUAGUUAAUAAGCCUCAUGUCGUAUGUACUCCGCUUCCAUUUCAAAGCCAUAUAAAGGCAAUGCUUAAAUUUGCAAAGCUCCUCCACCACAAAGGUUUCCAUAUAACCUUUGUCAACACAGAGUUCAACCACAAGCGGUUCUUCAAUCUCUUGGACCCAACUCCCUCGAUGGCUUGCCUGAUUUUCGAUAUGAAUCAAUCCCAGAUGGCCUUCCAAUAAGUUCAGAUACCGAUGAUGAUGGAAAUACUGUCCAAGACAUCCCUUUGCUUCUUGAUUCCAUCAGAAAAAAUUUAUUGGCUCCUUUUCGAAACCUCCUCAGAAAACUCAAUGACACUGCAUUUUCCAGUGCCAACAAUAUUAUUAUUAAUAAUCCUCCAGUGACAUGUAUGGUUUCAGAUGGUUUUAUGACAUCCACCAUCACAGCAGCCGGAGAGCUUGGAAUCCCUGUCGUACUCUUCUUUACCAUUGCUGCAGCCGGCUUCAUGGGCUCUAAACAAUAUUCUGUUUUGGUGGAGAAAGAACUUGCGCCACUCAAAGGUGUGAAAGAGAAAUGGGGAAGCAAUUGUUGUUUCAUGUAUGAUUAUAUAUUGCUUGUUUUUAAACAAAUUAAUGAUGCAACUUUUCUUUACUUGGGUCUUCUAUUGUAGAUGAGAGCUGUUUGACAAACGGCUUUUUGGACAAGGUAAUAGAUUGGGUUCCAGGAAUGCAGGGUAUCCGUUUAAGGGAUCUCCCAAGCUGCUUUCGAACGACAGAUCCGGAUGACAUUGUGUUUAACUUUGCCAGGGAAGCAAUGGAUAGUGUUGAUAAAGCUUCAACAGUUGUUGUUCACACUUUUGAUGCGUUGGAGCCACAUGUUUUGGAUGCUCUUUCAUCUAUGCCUCCACCUGUUUAUGCAAUAGGCCCUCUACAAUUUCUCAAUCAUUUGCCAAAAGACCCUUUGAAACCUAUGGGAUACAGUCUAUGGAAAGAAGAAACUGAGUGCCUCCAAUGGCUAAAUUCCAAGGCACCAAACUCAGUUGUUUAUGUCAAUUUUGGGAGUUUAGUGGUCAUGGCACCACAACAACUUGUUGAGUUUGGAUGGGGACUUGCAAAUAGCAAGCUUCCCUUCUUAUGGGUAAUUAGGCUGGAUUUGAUUGUUGGUGAAUCAGCAAUUCUGCCACCUGAGUUUGAGUUUGAAACUAAAGAAAGAGGUCUAAUAGCAAGUUGGUGCCCACAAGAGCAAGUCCUGAACCACCCAUCCAUCGGAGGGUUUUUGACACACAGUGGUUGGAAUUCAACCAUUGAGAGUCAACUGCGGGUGUGCCUAUGCUCUGUUGGCCAGUCUUUGCCGAGCAGCACACCAAUUGUUACUAUACUUGCAAUGAAUGGGGAAGUGGUUUGGAGAUUGAUAACAAUGUGAAGAGAGAUGAAGUGGAGAAGCUUGUUAGAGAGUUAAUGGAGGGGGAGAAUGGCAAGAAAUUGAAAAUUAAGGCCAUGGAGUGGAAGAAACUAGCAGAAGAAGCCACUGGUCCACAUGGUUCUUCAUCCAUAAACAUGGACAAUUUGGUGAAUCAAGUGCUAUUAAGAAAAAAAAAAUAGAGAUUAUUCGUAAGAAUAAUAUUAAUUUUUGUUGUUAAUGUUAUAGUAAGAUGUAUUCAACUUCCAUUUCCAAGCCAUAUAAAGGCAAUGCUGAAAUUAGCAAAACUCCUGUUCCAUAGAGGUUUUCAUAUAACCUCUGUCAACACAGAGUUCAUCUACAAGCACUGUCUUCAAUCUCCCGGACCCAAUUCUCUUGAUGGCUUGCCUCAUUUUCGAUUCGAAACAACCCCAGAUGGCCUUGCAAUUAGUUCAGAUGAAGACACCGCCAAAGAUAUCACUUUGAGUUUUCAUUCCAUCAGAAAAAUAUUGCCUCCUCAAAAAAGCUCAAAGAAAUUGCAACUUCCUUUAACAUUGAUCCCAGUGACUUGCAUGCAUUGUUUCAGAUGAUUACAUGCCAUUCACAAACUAAUACCCCCCCUCCUCUCUUCCCCCGGCUGAAGAACUUGGCAUUCCUAUCAUACUCUUCUUUACUUUUGCAGCAAGCAACAUUAUGGGCUUUACGGGUGUCUGAAAGUCUGACUGCACUGCAGGGUAAGAAAAAGAAAGAUAAGGUCAUGGAGUGGAAGAAAGUGGCAGAAGAAGCCACCGGUCCACAUGGUUCUUCAUCUACAAACUUGGACAAUUUAGUAAACCGAAUGCUAUUAAGAAAAAGCUAGAUCAUAUUUCACCGGUCCACAUGCCGUACAUAUUCUUUAGGACCUUUUAUGUUUGGCCUUCUUUGCGUUUCUCAAUAAAAACUAGUCAUGUGGAUUUCCUGCUUUUGGAAUGCCUGGAGGUGACUGAACUUUGUACAGAUUAUCAGGCCGGUCCCGAGUUUUCAAAGGCUCAGGGCGAAAAUUUAAAGUAUGCCCUACACACAUUAAUCACUAAUACUAGUAUACUUCUUGUUUUAUUAACUAAGCGUUGGUUUUUUUGAGAAAGUAUUUAUUUGAAAAUAUUUUUAGACUUUGAGCAAUGUCUUCCAUAUUCCUAAAUAAUGAAAAUAAAUGUCCAACUAUGGAUACCAUACCAGUGAGUCAAAGAAUUUCAAGAAUGCAAGUCAAGCUUGUUGACGUGAGUCUCCUAAUUAAUCAAGGAGAUUUACUUCCUUAAUUAAUUAAGGGAUUUACUUUCCUAUUUUUAUAUAAAUGAUAAAUCAUUGUACAAUUAGUAAAUACUUUCCUAAUUAUUUACUGUAUCUAAUUCCUUGUAAAACCCUCAUGUAAACUCCUAUAUAUACCUCCUUAAGGAGAAGAAUAAAACUCAACCCAAAGUAUUCAAACCAUAUUCAUAUUUUAGCAUGGUAUCAGAGCAAUCGAUCCUAGGUUGCCUGUAAACCCUUAUCUCAAAUUUCUCAUAUUCAAAUCCAAAACCCUAAAUCAAUUUCCUCAUAUUUUUCCCCAAAUCCAAAUCCCUCAAAUAUAAAGUCCUCAAAUCCUCUUAUCAAAAUCCCUACACACAUACCCUCCAAUCUUAUACACAUACCUCUCAAAUCCAAUUCAUGCAUCAAAUUCAUACAUCAAAUUCCUCAAAUCAAAAUCUCUUACAUUCUCAUAUCACAUUUUACUUCCGCUGCAAUGUCAAGAACCCUUACGAUUCUCCCCUUUAUUGCAGACUCAAAGAAGUAUGCAGUCAAUCCUGCUGACCUGGCUACUCUGACUCAUGCUUCUAUCGCCACCACAAAAGGUUCUACUUUUCAUACAUCAUCUCAAAAAUCUGCAUGGAUUAUCGACUCGGGUGCUACGGAUCACAUGACUUUUGAUCCUAGCCAACUUAUUAGUCGCAAAUCAUCCACUCUGUUGGCAGUGUCUAAUGCUAAUGGUACCCCCUCCCCUGUGGUUGGGGAGAGCUCUCUAUCUCUCUCUAUUUCCCUACAUCUGAAUUCUGUAUUACUUGUUCUAUCUUUAGACCAUAACUUGUUAUCUAUUGCACAACUUACUACUACUUUGGGAUGUACCGUAACAUUUUGGCUGAAUCAUUGUGUUUUUCAGGACAUCCUCACAUGAAAGACGAUUGGUUGUGGUACUUGAUGGGGCAAACUCUACUACUUGGACUGGGCACCAGAUAAUGAGGUUAAGGUUGGUCAAGCUUUCAGAACCAGUGGAACUCGUUCUGAGAGGGAGAGAGACAAAAUUUGGUUAUGGCAUAAACGUCUUGGGCAUGCCUCAUUCGGUUAUCUUAAGAAGUUGUUUCCAUCAUUAUUUUCCUGCCUUGAUGUUUCCAACUUCCAGUGUGAUACGUGUGAAUUGGCUAAGAGCCAUCAUGUCCCAUUCCCAUUAAGUUCAAAUAAGAGUUUGGUUCUGUUUUCCCUUGUUUAUUCUGACGUUUGGGGACCUGCUAAAAUUGCCACUCCGACAGGGGUGCAAUGGUUUGUUACGUUUAUAUUGUACACGCAUAACUUGGGUUUCCCUUCUCAAAACUAAAGGGGAAGUCAGUUCCAGGUUUCAACAGUUUUAUCAAAUGGUAGAGACUCAGUUUCAUGCCCAAAUUCAGGUUCUUCGUUCUGACAAUGGCAGAGAAUUUCUCAACCAUGAUCUUAACCAGUUCUUACAAGAUCAUGGCAUCAUACAUCAACGCUCAUGCCCUUACACUCCCCAAUAGAAUGGGGUGGCUGAAAGAAAGAACAGACACUUAUUGAAGUCAUUCGUGCCUCUCUCUUUGGUGCCAAUAUGCCAUGAUCUUUUUGGGGCGAAGCAGUCGUCUCUGCAGCAUACCUUAUCAAUCAGAUUCCCUCUAGUAUCCUAAAUUUCCAAACACCACUUCAAACACUUCACCACCAUAUCCUUCCACCCCAAACCUGGAACCCCGAAUUUUUGGUUGUGUUGUAUUUGUCCACUUACACGAUCACCAAUGGAGUAAAUUGGAUCCCCUAGCCGAAAAGUGUAUUUUCAAUGGCUAUGCACCUCAUCAGAAAGGAUACCGGUGUUAUCAUCCUCCUAGUUAGAAGGUCUUCACCUCCAUAGAUGUUGUGUUUUGGGAACAUGACUUACAUUUUUCAACAGCCCAUGAGGAGAAUUGAGAAUCCACCACUACUCCAAUUCUCGAUUUUUUUUCCCCAGGACGUCACUCUGCAUCAAAAUGAUCAGUUGCCAGUGGAAAGCAACCGGUCACCUCCCCUUAGUUCUUCAACUACAGAGAACUUGCUUCAAAAUGAUUAGUCGCCAGAGGAAAACAAUCAGUUGUCUCCACGCUGUCAAAAUCAGGAGGAGGAAAUUGAACCAUUUUAUGAAAUUUUGCCCGCUUCAGCUCCAAUACUACACCAAUCACUUGCUGAGGAAGUCAUUCAGGUAACAUCUUUUCUUGAAACUGAUAACACUAAUGAAAUAUCCCAUGAUGAUUUGAUUUCAGAAGGCACAGAGCCUACAUAUUAGCUUCUAGAAAGGAAGAACCGUGGCAAACCUCGAGUACAAUAUGAAGCAGAUCUUAAAGCCAAAGGAAAAUACCCCAUCAAUAAUUAUAUAUCUCUCAGCAGAUUAUCAGAGUCACGUGUGCAUUAUGUGAAGCAAUUGGCUGACAUAUAUGUCCCUAACAGUGUAAUUGAAGUACUAAACGACCCAAAAUGGAAAGAAGCUAUGAAUGAAGAAAUGUGAGCUCUCCAAAAGAAUGUUACAUGGGAACUCGUGCCCUUACCUCAUGGAAAGAAGACAGUAGGAUGCAGGUGGAUUUAUACUAUGAAACUCAAAGCAGAUGGAUCCGUUGAAAUAUAUAAAGCUAGAUUGGUGACGAAAGGGUACACACAGAGAUAUGGGAUAGACUACAAGGAGACCUUUGCCCCAGUAGCCAAGAUUAACAUUAUUAGAGUCCUAUUGUCUCUAGCAGCAAAUCUCGAUUGGCCACUACAUCAGUUUGAUGUCAAAAAUGCAUUCUUACAUGGAGACUUGGAAGAAGAAGUAUAUAUAGACUUACCCCCAGGAUGUAAUUCAGCUCAUGACAAGAAAAAUCAAGUUUGCAAAUUCAGAAAGUCAUUAUAUGGGUUAAAGCAAUCUCCCAGGGCAUGAUUUGGCAGAUUUACUAAAUCUAUGAAGAAUUUUGGAUAUACACAGAGUAAUUCAGAUCACACCCUGUUCUUAAAGCGUGAUGAAGGAAAACUUACUACAUUGAUUGUUUAUGUAGAUGACAUAAUCAUAACUAGAAACGACGCAGAAGAGCAACUAAAGUUGCAAAAGUAUUUGUUUCGGGAAUUUGAGAUAAAGGAUUUAGGUGAUCUGAAGUACUUUCUCGGAAUUGAAGUAGCAAGAUCAAAAACUGGUAUAGUUCUGUCUCAAAGGAAGUAUGUAAUGGAUCUACUCACUGAAACAUGAAUGCUUAUAUGUAAGCUUGCUGACACACCCAUUGAGAUGAAUCACAAGUUGUGAUAUGGACCAAGAACCAACCAAUAAGGAACAGUACUAACGCCUUGUUGGAAGGUUGAUAUACCUGGCACACACAAGACCAGAUAUUGCAUAUGCUGUGAGUGUGGUUAGUCAGUUUAUGCAUUCGCCCAGUGUUUCUCAUAAGAAUGCAGUUGAUCGAAUCUUAAGAUACUUAAAGUCAACCCCUGGGAAAGGAUUAAUGUUUUCAAAAAAUGGAGAUAUUGAAGUUGUUGGAUACACAGAUGCUGAUUGGGGCGGUUCCAUUACAGAUAGACGCUCUACUUCAGGUUACUUUACAUUCGCGUGAGGUAACCUAGUCACUUGGAGGAGUAAAAAGCAAAAUAUGGUUUCUCGGUCUAGUGCAGAAGCAGAAUAUCAAGGAAUGGCUCACAGAGUUUGUGAAUUAUUGUGGAUUAGAAGACUCUUGACAGAAUUGGGCUUCAAGUCAGAAAAGCCAAUGGAGUUGCAUUGUGACAACAAGUCAGCUAUCGAUAUUGCCCAUAAUCUAGUUCAACAUGAUCGAACCAAACAUGUUGAGGUGGAUAUACAUUUUAUCAAAGAAAAAAUUGAGAAAAAGAUCAUCCGCCUACCAUUCGUAAAAUCAGAAGACCAACUCGCAGAUAUCUUAACCAAAGCUAUUUAUGGAAUAGUAUUUCAUGACUCACUUACCAAGUUGGGCAUUUGUGACAUAUAUGCACCAAUUUGAGGAGGAGUGUUGACGUGAGCCUCCUAAUUAAUCAAGGAGAUUUAGUUCCUUGAUUAAUUAAGGGAUUUACUUUCCUAUUUUUAUAUAAGUGAUAAAUCAUUGUACAAUUAUAAGAUACUUUCCUAAUUCUUUACUGUAUCUAAUUCCUUGUAAAAUCCUCAUGUAAACUCCUAUAUAUACCUCCUCAGGGAGAAGAAUGAAACUCAACCCAAAGUAUUCAAACCAUAUUCAUAUUUUAGCAAAGCCAAUAUCAAAGAAUUUCUUUUAAAACUCUUGUCAUGGAUCCUUUGUUCCAAAAUUUCAGGUUCAUCUCAAUAUCCUAUUCCUAAACAUUAUGAAAAAAAUAUUAAAUCAAUUUAUAAUAAUAUAAUAUAACUCUUAUUAUAAUAAUAAAAAAUUAGAACCCCCUUGAAUAAUGGGCCCAAGACAAUCGCAUUGACUGCCCCUAGUCAGGGCCGAAACUGCAGAUUAUCGAAGCACGUUUUCUUUUUCCAUCGACAACAAAACCAAACACUAGAAAGUCUAUAAUUGACUGGCCGCCAAACAGUUUUAGGUUUGAAGAUUUACAAUUAUUAACAUAGGUCAGAGAAUUCACCUAACUUAAUUGCUUUGACCACAGGGAUGCUCCAUUCAUAGUAUAGAGUCCAUUAUUAAUGUGUGUGCCAUGGACUUUUUCCUAGGACUCAUCAACCAAAGAUCAACUAACAUUAAGAUAAUCUUAACUAGUAGAAAACAGAGAAUUAGAGACACGUUUUUAGGUUAGUUGGCCUUGCUUUAACAUAAAGAUCAAACGGCACUAUCAUGUCCAGCCUUGAUAUUGUUGUCAUAUGACAGAGCCACACAAAAGCAAGAGUAAUAAAUUAUAACGCAUGCAUACACUUCAUCUAAUUCAAAGAUGAGUUCCAUGGCAGUACGAGAUAGGCCUCAUGUUGUAUGUCUUCCAGUUCCACUUCAAAGCCAUAUCAAGGCAAUGCUUAAGUUAGCAAAACUCUUCCACCAUAGAGGUUUUCAUGUGACCUUUGUCAACACAGAGUUCAACCACAAGCGCUUUCUUCAAUCUCUUGGACCCAACUCCCUUGAUGGCUUGCCUGAUUUUCGAUUCGAAACCUUCCCAGACGGUCUUCCAGUCAGUUCAGAUGAGGAUACUUCCCAGGACAUCUUUUUGCUUUUUAAUUCAAUGCGCGAUAACUUCUUGCCUCUGUUUCUUAACCUCCUAAAAGAACUCAAUGACAGAGCAGCUUCCGGCAAUACCAACCCUCCAGUGUCUUGUAUUGUUUCGGAUGGUUUGAUGCCGUUCCCCAUCACAGCUGCCGAAGAACUUGGAAUUCCUAUUGCAAUGUUCUUUACUAUUUCUGCAGGCGGCUUCAUGGGCUCUAAACAGUAUCCUGCUUUGGUGGAGAAAGGACUUGCACCACUCAAAGGUGAAAGAAACUAAUAUUGAAGCACUUGUUUACAUUUAUGAUUCUAUAUAUUGCUUGUUUCUAAAGAAUAGAUUUGUAUAUAUUGCUUGUUUCUAAAGAAUAGAUUUGUGUGCCUGAUCAAAGCUUAAUUUUUAGAUGAGAGCUAUUUCACAAAUGGCUUUUUGGACAAGGUGAUUGAUUGGAUUCCAGGAAUGAAAGGUAUCCAUUUACGGGAACUUCCGACAGUGUUUCACAUUACAAAUCCAGACAACAUCUUUUUUAAGCUCACAGUGGAAACAAUGGAUAGAGUAGAUAAAGCUUCAGCUGUUGUUCUUCUUACAUUUGAUGCAUUGGAACAAGAGAUUCUGGAUGCUCUCUCAUCUAUGCUUAUCCCACCUAUUUAUACAAUUGGUCCUAUUGAAUUACUACUUGUCAAUCAGAUACCAGAAGACCCUUUGAAGUCUGUUGGCUAUAGUCUAUGGAAAGAAGAAACUGAGUGCCUCCAAUGGCUAAAUUCUAAAGAGCCAAACUCGGUUGUUUAUGUGAAUUUUGGCAGUCUAGCGGUCAUGACACCUGAACUUGUUGUUGAGUUUGGCUGGGGACUUGCAAAUACAGAUUAUCCCUUCUUGUGGGUAAUUAGGCCUGAUUUCGUUGCUGGCGAAUCGGCGAUUUUUCCACCUGAGUUUGUGGCUGAAACCAAGGGAAGGGGUGUAAUAGUAAAUUGGUGCCCACAAGAGCAAGUCCUUAACCACCCAUCAGUUGGAGGGUUUUUGACACACAGCGGCUGGAAUUCAACCAUUGAGAGUUUGUCUGCCGGAGUGCCUAUGAUCUGUUGGCCACUCUUCGCGGACCAGCCAACAAACAGCUGGUGUACUUGCAAUCAAUGGGGCAGUGGCAUGGAGAUGGAUAAGAAUGACAAGAGAGAGGAAGUGGAGAAGAUUGUUAGAGAGUUAAUGGAGGGAGAGAAGGGUAAGACAAUGAAAAGUAAGGCCAUUGAGUGGAAGAAGCUAGCAGAAGAAGCAACUGGUCCACAAGGUUCUUCAUCCACAAACUUGAACAAUUUAGUGAAUCAAAUGCUAUUAAGAAAAAUCUAGAUCUUAUAUCCAUAAGAAUGUGUUAAUUAAUUAAGUGUAUGUUAUUGCUGGUCUUAAUUUAGAACUAUAAAGAUGUCUUGCAAGAUCUGCAUUUGCAGUCCCUCCCUCUUUACCAUCUAUCUAUAAUUUCGUUUUGCUCAUGAACCAAUGCUUAGCUUGGUUCUACUUUCUUUCUCAAUUUAAUAUUGAUAUACAAGAGAAAACUAAGAUUCUGACCAAAAAAAAAUUAGCAGCUAUUGAAAAAAAAUGGAUGGUGACAAACUAGCAAAUAAUAUGUGACCUUAGCUCUAUUUUCUUAUUUAAUAUUGAUAUACCAGGGAAAACUAAAAUAUUAUCACAAAAAUAUUUUAGGAAUUAGGUUUCUGAUUUUUAUAUUUUAAUUUCAAUUUUGUUUGGAUCUAAAAAAUAGUUUGGAGUUCGAUACCAAAAGAGUUUUAGAUCCUAAAAUUAGUAUUUUAAAAUGUGAUAAGAUAAGGUGCAAUGCGGGAGUUUCUGUAUAAUACAAUUAUAUAAUUAUAUUGAUAUGGACUAAUUAAAAUUCGUUAGAUUAAUCGAGUGGUUAAUAUUAUCUUAAAUACGCAUAAAUGCACCAAUACUAUUCAAUUGAGAUUUUAAAAGACUAUUUAGGUAUAAAAAAAGUCUUGCAGAUUUAAGAAAAAUGUAAUGACUUAUAGAAUUUUAUUUAUAGAUUUUUAUAAUCAAGAUUUGAGAUAUGGUUUGGUAUUUAUACUUCCUACUAAAAAAAUCUCACAAAAUUCAACAUUUAAAAAAAUACCUUCGAAAUUAGCAAAUUUUUUAAUACCAUAAAACUUUUUGUUACUUGUUUAAAGUCUUAAUUGAAUACCACUAGAUUUGGCCACUCUCUUUUAAAAAUCAUAAUAGUCCUAAUGGAAACCACAAUACUUGUUUAGAUAAUUUAAAAGUCUUAAUUGAAUACCACAAGAUUUAUUUAUCCCAAAAUAGUCUUUUAAAAUCCCAAUUAAAUACACUAAAUGCAGAAGCUCGGGAUUCAAUGGCUAGUAAAGGAGAAAAGAUUCGUGCUCAAGUGGUUGAGUUUUGGAUUGGCUUUGCAAGAUUAGUUGUUUUCUUGAAUAUGAUAUGAGAUAGGACCUAAACUUGUAUGCCCUCGUUUCAUUUUUCAAUAUAUUCAUGUGGCUUUCUUUGUAGCUUUUGAUUGAUUACGUUUCUUUGUAGCCAUAUGCUGUUUUUUUAUAUAUCAUUUGUUAGUUGGUGGUUCUUGACUUUGUCUUAACACCAAACAUAAAAAAAUAAAUUAAAAAAUAAAAAAUUUGUCCCAAUGAGCUGAAGAUUCUGACAGAAACUAAGAUUCUGACAAAAAUAUUUUAGUCGCUAUUGGAAAAAAAUGGAUGGUGACAACAAAAUUACUAUAAAAUGGUGGUGGUGGUCCUCUAUGUUUGCAAAACUAGUAUAAGGGAAAAGAGUCGUGCUCAAGUGGUUUGUUGCCUUUUUUUUUUUCUCGGUUGCAUGAGUUUCGGAUUUGCAAGAUUUGUUGUUUUCUUGAAUUGAAUAUGACAUGAGAUUGGACCAAAAUUGGUGUUUGAUAAGGACUGAAAUGUUGUUUGCAUGUAAUGUAUGGCCCUCGUUUCAUUUUUCAAUUCAUGUAGCUUUCUGUCUUGCUUUUGAGUGCCUUAUUAGUGAUUGAUUCAUAUACGUCUGUAUAGUAACAUACAAGUUACAAAAUUCUAACAAAUAAUGGUGAUCGCAGAUAUAGGCUUAGUCAAGUUAGUUAGGACAGAUUGCCCUAUAUUCUGCAUCCGAGUUCGAAUUCUCUUCCCUUUAGUUUAGACUAAAUUAAAGUAAAAUAUCAUUUCUAUAAAAUAAAAAUAAUGGUGAUAAUAUAUAUUCAAUGAUAUCUCUUGGUGCUUUUAGGUUGUCUGCCAUUUGCUGUUUUUUUAUAUAUUAUUUUUCAGCCUAGUGGUUCUUGAUUUUGUCUUUCUUGCAGCAGUAGAAAAAGGAACAAAUCCAGCCGUCCAUUACUGUCGUAUAACCUGCUGACUCUUUCUAGGCUGCCGGGUCUCCUUGUCAUAAGUCAGACAUGGCACGAAAAUGUUGUUAGAACUAUAAAGUUUUACUGCAUUUGUGUUGUGAGUGCAAAUAUUGUUCAUAUGUGCAUACACUGACUGUACACACAAUCUAAGAUGAGCUCCAUAGAAGUUCAAGGCAAUAAGCCUCAUGCUGUAUGCAUUCCCUUUCCAAUUCAAAGCCAUAUAAAGGCAAUGCUGAAAUUAGCAAAGCUCCUACACCAUAGAGGUUUUCAUAUAACCUUUGUUAACACAGAAUUCAACCACCGCCGCUUUCUUAAAUCUCUUGGACCUAACUCCCUCGAUGGCUUGCCUGAUUUUCAAUUCGAAACCAUUCCAGAUGGUCUUCCAGCUUCAGAUGAGGAUGCCGGCCAAAACGCCUAUUUGCUUUGUGAUUCCAUCAGAAAAAAUUUCUUGGCAGUAUUUCGUAACCUCCUUUUAAAACUCAAUGACAUGGCAACUUCUAAAAAUAUUAGUAAUCCUCCAGUGACUUGCAUUGUUUCAGAUGGUUUCAUGACUUUCAGCAUCACAGCUGCUGAAGAACUUGGAAUCCCUGUUGCACUGUUCUUUACUAUUGCUGCAAUUGGAUUCAUGGGCUGUAAGCAAUAUCCCACUUUGGUAGAGAAAGUACUUGCACCACUCAAAGGUGAAAGAAGUAUUCAUAAUAUUGAAGCAGUAGAGCAAUUUUUUGCUAAAUUUCUUCUUGGUUUUUUUCAAAAUGAUGAUUAAUUUUUUCUUGACUUGGGUGUUGCAGAGGAGAGUUAUUUAACAAAUGGCUUUUUGGACCAGGUCAUAGAUUGGGUUCCCGGAACGAAAGCUAUUCGUUUAAAGGAUCUCCCAAAGUCCUUUCAAACUACAAACCCCAACGACAUCUUGUUUAAAUUAACCUUGGAAGCAAUGGACAGAGUUGAUAAAGCUUCAGCAGUUGUUCUUCAUACUUUUGAUGAGUUGGAGGCAGAUGUUUUGCAUGCUCUCUCAUCAAUGCCUCCACCUGUUUAUACCAUUGGCACUCUCCGGUUACUUCUCAAUCAGAUACCACAACACCCUUUGAAGUCCAUGGGAUAUAGUCUAUGGAAAGAAGAAAUUGAAUGGUUCCAAUGGCUCAAUGCUAAGGUGCCAAACUCGGUUGUUUAUGUCAACUUUGGCAGCAUAGUGGUCAUAAAAUCAGAAGAUCUUAUUGAGUUUUGUUGGGGACUUGCAAAUAGCAAGCUUCCCUUCUUCUGGGUAGUUAGACCUGAUCUGUUAGUUGGUGAAUCAGCAAUUUUGCCACCUGAGUUUGUUGCUGAAACUAAGGGAAGAGGUUUGGUAGCAAGCUGGUGCCCACAAGAGCAAGUCCUUAGCCACCCAUCAAUUGGAGGAUUCUUAACACACAGUGGUUGGAACUCAACCAUUGAGAGUCUUUCUGCAGGAGUUCCCAUGCUCUGUUGGCCAUUCUUUGCCGAACAACGAAUAAAUUGUGUCUAUACUUGCAAUGAAUGGGGCAUUGGC
rnacentral:lncRNA from 1 species